UUGGUACCUUGUACGCUCCAGCAAACUUCGUGGUGAUAGAGACUGGUACUGAGGAGAGGGCACCCAUCAUCUUAGGGAGGCCAUUCCUAAACACCAGAGCUGUCAUCUACGCUAAUGCUGCCCAGAUCAGUCUCUACAUCAAGGGGAAGAAGGAGACUUUCCUUCAAGAACAAGAUUACACAAGCUUCAGAGCAAUCCCGACAUGAACCAAGGAAGAGGACCAACAGGAGGAACAGGAACAAGUAAAUGUGGACCGAGUCAGCUAAGAUGGUCACUGCAGCUCAAGGAGGUCAAGAUCGUCGACUCAAGUCACCUUUCUUGAUCAAGAAGGACGACCCUGGUGUUCCAAGAAUCGAAUGCACAAUCAACAGAUACUAUUUUUAGAAGACACUCUACGACACCGGACCUGACGUCAACAUAAUGGCUGCAGUCACUUAUCAGCUCCUGCAUGGAACCAUGCUCCUACAACCAACAUACAUUCAGCUCCAGAAAAUUUUCAGGUCAUUGACAUGGGAGAAGACGAGUAUGAUCCACCUACCAUCCUUGGAAGACCGUUCCUCAAAUACUAUCAAAGCCAUCAUCUAUAUUGGAACCGGAGAAGUCCACAUGCACUUCCCCUCUAAGAAGGCUAGGACAAGACAACACAACCGCAACCAGAGGAGGCAAAUCAUCAAGGACGGAUGGGUAGACUACGAAGGAGAAGUGAUAAGGACUGAAGACAUACAACUUGAACAGAACUGUUCUGAGGAGACCAUAGCACCGACUCAGGUGUGGAGAGAGAAGAUAGUUAUACACGAAGAGGAGGCGCCGCCGGAACCACCGACUACGCCAUCCAACAAAUCCCAGGACGACUGAGAAACGGAGAGUCCCGUUCGGAGGACUUAAAAACAUCGAACGCCUUGCCAAGAGGUAAACUUGGUAGUUAUCUUUUUCCUUUCAAUUAUUCAAUUGUAGUUUGCUUAGUUAAUCAGGUUCAUAUCAUCUCGAAAAGAAACUAAAAAAUGUUAAAAAUAGUAAGCCCCAUGUGAGUAUGCUCAUGGCAUAAAACCCAUAAGUACAUUCACUGUGGUGGCAUAAAAAUAAAAUAAAUAAGUUUUCAUCUUACAAUAAAAAUAUAAAAAUAAUAAGUGCAUGAUCCUGCUAAAUAAGUAAUAUUUAUUGAGGAGGCUCAACAUGAUAAAGGCUAGAUAUUUAUGCUAACACUUAACUAGUUCCACAAAGCUUUAUUGUCUAUUUGAGCUCCACAGAAUUCAAGGAUCAAAGAAGACUAGUAGACGGAGGACAUCCUAAUCGCUGUCAGGGUGCUGCCGACUUUCAAAUACACCUCCACUACCUGCUAGCUACAUUAGAAAAAAUUACGUCAAAAUCCAGCUUGGGGGAGAGCACCCCCAUUUAUCCAGCUAAGUGUUUCUACUCGCGUUUAUACUUUACUCAAAUAAUAAAAGAUGCAUAAUCAUGAAAACCCAAAUAAAGAUUUUGUGCUUUUAUAUAUUUUUGCUUAGUUUGCUAAAUAAAUAAAUAAAUAAAGUUUGCUAUGAACCCUCAUGAUAAACUCUCACAUGGAAAUGAUGAAUAGUUGCUCUGCCAUGACUACUUCUUAAAAUUGAAAUCUCUCUCAAGUUUAGGCAUGACUGUUAUGAAGUAAGAUUUGCUCUAAACCUGAACUUGUGGGAAGAGUACUUGAUCUAAAGUCUAAGUCGUUAACGGAUAUGAUAUGGGAAGGUUGAGCUGCUGUUUAUCUGUUCCUAGAGAUGCUAGAAUUCUGGAGAAUUCUAUCUUUGAAAAAUCUUUAAAAUAACACAUGAUGAGUUCCUAUAUGAUGAGAGUUUAAAAUCCUACCACAGCCAUAUAGACAUGCUUAUUAGACUUUGAGCCACACAUUUACUUUUUACUGCUUAUGAGCAUUGAGUGUGGUCAAGCUGUGUAGACCCUUAGGAGCUUGUCAUGUGGUUAAAAUCAAGAUUCACUUGCACGUUCACUUAUACAUGCUACUUCUACUCCGGAAGUACCAUCCACAUACAUCCACUCAUUUCCAUCUCCAGAUUCAUCCAAAAUUAUUCUACUCCUAAUCCGGGAGAGAAUAGCCAAAAACAUUUUCCUAUCCCUGUUAUUCCCUGUGAAAUAAAUGCUCCAGUUAUUUUGGUUACUACCACUUGCUACAUUAUUUCAGGAGAUGAGUGCUCUAAAAAAAAGAAGAGAAAAAAAGAGAAAAAAAAGAAUAAUACGAGGAAAUAAAAAGGGGCAAGUGGCCGGAACCUCAAAGAAAAGAAAAAGUGAGACGAGAGGUAAAAAUGGACAAGUGUCGGACAGUAGAAUUAGGGGUACAAGAUACCCACCUGAGAGGAAAGAAAAAGAAAAUAUAGAGCAUCUCAUUCUCCCCAAAAAGCUUCAAAGUGCAAGAAAGGUAUGUAUCCCCUUCAAAGAGCAAAAGUAGAAUUAGACUUUCACCAUUGUUAUCACCAUACACCAUUCAUUCGCCACACAUGCACAUCUUGAUUUGACUUAUUGACUUGUUUCUCUGGAUCCAUGGUUUGACUAUGCAAUAAAUGUCUUGUAAGUAUGUAUGCUUUAUCUCCCACCUAUGAGCUACAGAUAUCAAAACCUUAUUAGAGUAGGGUGAGAGAGAAGGCAAUAUCACUAUGCCUCAUACCAAAAAUACCACAUAAAUUGAGAGAAGGCAUAUACCAUUACUGCCUUGGAAAGGAUCCAGAAAUACCACAAAAGAGAGAUUUUAGAGAGUCAUACAAGGAAUCUCUGAGUUUUAUUUGAAAAUAUACAAAAACUCCAAAGCUAUAGUUAAUCAAAGAAUAAGAGACAUGGCGCUUGACUUGACCGUUCUAUCUUUUAACUACUAAAGACACAAGUGACGGUUGCAAGCCCCAUGGUGAAAGGAAAAAUGAGUAAGUUUUAAGUCUUAACAGUUUACUCUAACUCAAAGAAGAGAUCUUGCUUGAAUGCAUGUGUACUUUUAAGGCAUGAAACCACUGCAGAAACUCUUGAGUCCAUCCUUGCUCAGGGACGAGCAAGAGGUAAGCUUGGGGGAGUUGUUGACGGUACUUAAGUACCAAAUUUAAUCAUCAAAUAAAUAAUGAAAAGGAUCCAAAUGCAACCAACACCCAGACUUAGGGUGUUAUGUGAUAGAAUUCCACAAGUUUUGGUGUUUGUCUAUUUCUGCAGGGGGUUAUCAAGAAAUAUCAAGAAAAGGCCCACACGUCGGGUUUACAUAGAGAUAUUAACGUGCCGCACAAUUUUCUAUCAUCUAGAAGACUCCAGAAGCCACUGGAACAAACGGCAGGCCGAGCGGGCCUAGGGGAAGGGCGCCCGCCCUCCCCCCUUGGGCGCCCGCCCAGGUGUCUCAACCAAUCACGUUCAACCUCACGGAUUAUGCUCCACUGACCUAAGAGAUCAAGGAAAACCGUGCGAUUAAGGUCGGUUUGAUCCGACAGCCCAGAUUCACUUGAGGGGACUAUAUAAGCAGGCCCCCUAGCCCCUGGAGAGACAAUCCUCAUUAUUCAUUAGCAUAUUUUCUAGAGAGGAUUCAGAGAGAGAGGUUCUGUGGGGUUAUAAACCCCUAUACCCUUACGGCUGGACUUGGGCCAGGAGGCUUGGCCCAUCACGAAGACAGACUGAGGCUUGAUCCAACUGCUCGGAGUUUCGCGCAAGGAAACAAGACGUAGAGAUCAAGCCGGAUUCUAGUCGCCGAGUGAAAUGCUCACCGAUAUCCGUGCGCUUGCGGAUCAUUUUCUAAUUGCGUUACCAAAUAUCAACAAUGACCAUAAAGCUUCACUCAACAAUGUAUGCCACCUUCUAGGAUUUUCUUCAAUCUUUCGUUUGAUGAGUUUAAUAAUCCCUUUGUUAGAUGCCUCGGCCUGCCCGUUGGCUUGAGCAUAAUAAGGGGAAGAGUUCAACACCUUAAUCCCCAUACCGAUUGUAAAUUCAUCAAACUCUCCUGAUGUAAACAUAGUACCCUGAUCGGUAGUAAUUGUUUGAGGAAUACCAAAUCGGUAAAUAAUAUGCUCUUUCACAAAAUCAAUCAUAUUAGCCGAUGUAACUUUCUUCAAAGGAAUAGCUUCAACCCACUUAGUGAAAUAAUCAGUGGCAACUAAGAUGAACUUAUGCCCUUUGCUUGAUGGCGGGUAAAUCUGGCCGAUCAAAUCAAUAGCCCAUCCCCGGAACGGCCAAGGUUUAAUAAUAGGAUUCAUAGCCAAUGCGGGUGCCCUUUGAAUAUUGCCAAACUUUUGGCAUCCUUGGCAUCCUUUGAAAUAUUUAAAGCAAUCUUCGAGUAUGGUAGGCCAAUAAUACCCGUUUCUCCUAAUCAUCCAUUUCAUCUUAAAAGCCGACUGAUGUGCUCCACACACUCCUUCAUGGAUUUCACCCAUCAAACUUUUAGCUUCAUCAUCACCCAACCACUUGAGAAGAACUCCAUCUAUUGUUUGAAAAUAAAGCUCAUCCCCAUGGAGUACAUACUUGGUAGCUUGAAACCUGACAUGCCUCUCAACCCUUUUGGAUGGAUCCUUUAAAUAAUCAAUGAUCUCCUUUCUCCAAUCAUCGGCACCGAUUGCCGAUAACGUGUUAAAUAUGGGUUGGUAUCUCGAGGCAUGCUGAGCCAAUCGAUGAGCCUCCUCAUUAUGUAACCGAGGAACAUGCUCUAAUCGGAAAUCUUUGAAUUCCUUUAAUAGUUGCAUACUUCUUUCAUAAUAAGUUAUCAGGACUUCGCUUCGGCAUUCAUAACUUCCAGCCAACUGAUUUAUGACCAGCAUAGAAUCUCUGAAGAUUUCAACAGCAUCAGCAUGAACCUCUUUUAAUAAUUCCAACCCCUUGAUCAAAGCAUGAUACUCAGCUUGAUUAUUUGUUGACAUGGCAACAAUCGGCAAAGAGAACUCAUACUUCCUUCCCUGAGGGGAAAUUAGUACUAUGCCGAUUCCUGCCCCCCGGUCACAGGUAGAUCCAUCAAAGAAGAGCGUCCAAGGAACAAUUUCCAAAGUCUCCACUACACCGUCGGCCAUAACCUGCCCUUUUACUGCCUUAGCCGAUUCGUAACGUAGAUCAAACUCCAACAGUGCCAAAAUCCAUUUGCCGAUCCUACCACUCAUAAUUGGCAUAGACAACAUGUAUCAGACCACAUCAUCCUUGCAUAUAACAGUGCAUUCAGCCGACAGCAAAUAGUGCCUCAACUUAAUGCACAAAAAAUAUAGGCAUAAACACAAUUUUUCUAUUGCCGAAUACCUGGUCUCAGCAUCAAUCAAUCUUCUACUUAAAUAGUAAAUCACAUGCUCCUUCUCUUCAAAUUCUUGAAUCAAAGCCGAACCGAUGACCAGCCCAUCGGUAGACAAAUAUAAUUCGAAGGGCUUUCCUUGCUGAGGUGGAAUUAGAACUGGAGGAUUUGUCAAAUAAUUCUUGAUUUCAUCCAAGGCCGACUGUUGCUCUUCUCCCCAUACAAACUCUUGAUCGGCUUUCAAUUUGAGUAAAGGACUAAAAGCACGAAUUUUACCAGACAAAUUAGAUAUAAACCGCGUGAUAAAAUUUGGUGAGGUCGUUGUCCAGAUCUUCACGACGUAGGAUAACUAGCUGAAGAUCAGCCGAUAACUUGCUGCAAGCAGCGAGGAUAACUAGUGCAACCUGACGACACGCACAAGGAGCCAACCACCGUCUCUAUACGGCAGCCUGAACCAAGGAUUCGCCCAACCACACUCUCAAAGAACCAACCUACGCAACCUGAACUCGAGGAUCAGGAGCACGGAUUGGGUGCCGAUGACGCGGCCGCUUCUGUAAUCUCCGCGAAGGAAAACACAAGAGCAAAGGGGUAGAGAUCUCUCUCUGAAUUUGUUAGCACACAGCUGAACAAAGUGGUUUGUAUUCUCAAUAUCAUAAGUCUUAGAUUACAAUGGGUCUUAGGGGGAAUUUAUACUAGCAACAGCCCUGCUAGAUAGGUAUGAAAACGAAAUAGAGUUUUUGAGGGAAGGCAAUGUGAAAGGUCCCCUCGAAAUGGAUUCCGGAAGUGGCUUCGCGUGACUGUUGGCUUCUAGAGCAGUUUCCAAUAAACUGACCAUAACUUUUUAUUGGGAAGUCCAAAUGAUGAACCGUUUCUUGGGUGUGAAACUAGACUCAAAUGACUUUCUAGCAAUGUAUGCCAGCCAGGACGAAACAUUGUAGAUUGGUACAGUUUUACUUGGCAAGUUGUACCAACAUUCUAUCAUGAUAGACUCUUGACCUUCUGAGCAGUCUGUACUAAUUCUGGUCUGCAGGCAAUAUGGAGUAUCCAAACUAGUCGCCACUAGAUUCAUUGGAAAGUAGACUCGUCAAGAUUUCCAACAAGUACUCAUGGACCUUCAUAGCUUUUGUGAGUAAAAAGUUAUGAAGAUUCUUUGCACUGGUCCGUUUUUGACUUCUUCUGGAACUUGCACUGGUCCGUUCUUCAUGGUCCGAUUCUUCCUUCUCUUGUUCUAUAUACCUGAGUACAAUUAAGGUACAACACUUAGGUAGUAUAUAAUUCUCAUUAAUGUUAAAAUGAAUCUCACAAAGUAGCGCGUUCACCUCUUGUUGUAGCUUCUUGGCUUGGGCUGGUGCCGGCGUAGUCGGUGUAGAGGUUGGCGUGGAAUUAGAGGCAGAAUGCUUGGUUGGGAUGUCCUCAUCAUCCUCCCCCUCUUGAAAAGGAGUCGACCUCGACUCUGAUUCUUCUAAUCCGAAGAAUGGUGUCAAGUCAGCAACAUUGAAGGUUGUGCUAACACCAUAAUCUUCAGGAAGCUCAAUCUUGUAGGCAUUAUCAUUGAUCCUGGACAACACUCUGAAUGGACCAUCUCCCCGAGGUAUCAACUUGGAUUUACGCUUCUCAGGAAAGCGGUCUUUGCGAAGAUGUACCCACACUAAAUCUCUGGGCUCAAAUAUCACCUUCUUGCGAUGCUUGUUUGGUCUUCUCAUCUUUGGCCAGUAGAAGUGAUCAGCUAGCAUCUCAUAUGUCUUUCUCCAUCCAAAGUGACCCAUCAAUCCACCUGCAUGUGUUUCCUAUAGCAACAAAAGCCUAACAGAGCAGUGGGGUACACACAAUUUGUUAGCUCGAAACAAAAAUCCAUCAUGUAUAUGAUAUUUUUCCCACCCUUUUCCAGUUGUACAGUUUGCAAAUGGUUCUGAAAAUUCAUGAUCAGUAGGGUGUUGACGGUCCUUAAGUAUCAAAUUUAAUUAUCAAAUAAAUAAAGAAAAGGAUCCAAAUGCAACCAACAUCUAGACUUAGGGUUUUAUCUGACAGAAUUCCACGAGUUUUGGUGUUUGUCUAUUUCUGCAGGGGGUUAUCAGGAAAUAAGGAAGAAAGGCCCACAUGUCAGGAUUACAUAGAGAUAUCAACGCACCGCGCAAUUUUCUAGCAUCUAGAAGACUCCAGAAGCCACGGGAAGAAAGCAGAGGCCGAAAGGGGCCAGGCCCAGGGCGCCCGCCCUGAGGACCUGGGCGCCUGCCCACCUCUGGAAGGCUUUUGGGACUCUCUUCGCACACGAUGUUCCACCGACCUAUUGGAUCAAGGAAAACAUAGUACCACCUCACCUACCGACCCAAAAACGCAUAGAGGAGGAGGACUAUAUAAGGAGACCCCCUGGCCCCUGGAGGAGACAAGAAGUUAUCAUAGAGUGGAGGGGUGCCCUCGAAGGAAAACCCUUGGGCCCCCCUUUUUUUUCUACCUCUUCUCUAAAUAAUAUUUCUUUUUAGGCUUAGCAACCAAUGUAAAGUAGAAAUAGAUCUUCUAGUUUCUACUAGAUUGAGAGAGAUAGAGUGGAGGUGUGGAUCGGAGGAAGGCCGGCCUGUCGGUGUCUACUCCGAGUUGUACCUGCGGGAUCAAGUCUCCUAACCCGAGGCUUGCUUCUAAGAUUCUUCAGUAAUUCGACUUCUAAUACUAGUAAGUUCUUGUUUUAUUGUUCUUUGGUUUAUGAGUCUCACUACGAUAGGAAUGAUUAAGGCUAUCGAGUCCAUUUCCUCCUACGUGGCGGGCACAGUUGUUGCCCGCCUCGGUUAUUCAUCAGCAGGCGUAUAGUCCCGACCACAGGAAAGCCCGAUGCGGUAAAUGUUUAACCGCAGCGGGCAUCAUAAAUAGCCCGCUACGGUUAAUCGUAUUAACCGAAGCGGGCGACGUAAUCUGCCCGCUACGGUUAAAGCUUUUACCGUAGCGGGCAUCAUAAGUCGCCCGCUUCGGUUAAUUGACAUUUACCGUAGCGGGCAUCUUAUGAAGCCCGCUUCAGUAGUUCGUUGGCUGUAUAAAUAGCAGCCAGCCGACCCCUUCUUCUUUCUCAAGGCUGCUCUCUUCCAAAUCGUGGGGGGAGUGGUUUUGCCCUAAAAUUUGACCAAUCAAUUGAAUUGUGGUUUAGAACUUUGAUUUGGUAGAGUAGGACAUCAUAAGAGGUACAUAGGAACUCCCUCCUCUCUUUCCCUCCUCUUUCUCUAUCUAUAGGUAGAUCUAGAUCUAGAUCUAGUUUCAUGGAGGUGAGAGAAAGCUAUGUUUUUUUUCUAGAUUCUUAAUGCAUAUGAAACCUUCUUUGUUCGAUGUGUAACGGUUCGCAGGCACGAGAUGGAUAGGUCGGAAUGGAUGUAUGGGAUGAAUCGGGUGCUUGACCCGCGGUACCUUGUCGAAGUGAGGAAGUUUAUUGCCACGGCGAAAGCUCACCGUGAGAGAUCGAAGCGGACGACAACCAUAUGUCCAUGUUCAAACUGCAAGAACCUCACAGCCUUCACGAAAGACGGUACGGUGCAGUCUCACUUGAUUCGGUUUGGUUUCAUGGAGGGUUACACAGUCUGGACUCAUCACGGUGAAAGACUGGACCCCAGUGGUGAUGCAUCCGGUUUGAGCUCGACGUCGAUGACCAUGAACCAAGAACCUAGAGCGCCCAUCUCAUCUCCAACGACUGCAGGGCCAACCUGUGGCAACAAUGACAACGUUGAUUCAGACAGAGUGGAGGAUAUACUCGGGGAGAUGGCAGAUGGUGUUGCAGAUGGCGAGGCGGCUAUCGUGCAGGAACCGGAGGAUAUCGAGGUGAUCGAGGGUUUAGUCAGCCACAUCGAUGAAGACGACGUUGUGUAUGGCUCCCCGAAGUGGUUGGAAAAUUUCAGAGAGAUGAAGCAGGCUGCAUUUGAUCCACUGUAUAAGGACGGUGGUAAUUGUCCAAAGGAGUGUACGGUGCUCCGGUUCAACCUCCACAUGUUGAUGAUGAAGGCCCGGCAUGGCUGGUCUGAUACUAGCUUCAAUGAGUUGUUAAGUUACCUUGGUACCACGUACGCGAUGGGUAACAAGGUCCCCGCAAAUACCUACCGUGCGAAGAAGUUGAUUCAUCCAGUGGCGAUGAAACUUAGAAAGUUUGAUGCCUGCCCCAACCACUACAUCCUGUAUCGAGGCAAGGAGUAUGAGAAUAUGACGAGCUGUCCGCACUGCGGCGCCAGUCGCUACAAGAGGAAUGCUGGAUGUCGUGUGGACGAAGACGACGAUGUGGCCUUACGGGGUGGUCCGAAGAGGAAGAAGGGGGCCAAGAAUAGCAGUGCCGCAGCCAAUCGCAUCUCAUCUCAGCAGGAUGAGGAAGAAGAGGGUUACACGCGGAGGAAAAGUCCAGCACUAUCGUUGUGGUACCUGCCUGUGACCGACCGCUUGCGUGCACUAUUCGGGAACCUAGAGGAUGCCAAGCUCAUGUCCUGGCAUGCAUCAGCUGACCGCAAGAAGGAUGAUGGCAUGCUGCGGCACCCAUCCGAUGGCCAACAGUGGAAAGAUUUUGACAAGGCAUACCCGGAAUUUGGUAAGGAUCCUAGGAACGUUCGGCUCGCGCUGAGUACUGACGGGAUGAACCCUUUUGGUGAGCUUAGCAGCUCGCACAGCACCUGGCCGGUUGUACUCACCGUCUACAACCUACCUUCCCAUCUGUGUCAAAGGCGAAGGUAUCUUAUGCUGACCAUGCUUAUCUCAGGACCGAAGCAGCCUGGUAACGAUAUCGAUGUCUUCCUAGAGCCGUUGAUGGAGGAAAUGCAGGAGUUAUUUGAUGUUGGGGUAGAGAUGAUUGAUGCAUCCCGCAAAGAGAAGUUCACCCUAAAAGCCAUCAUCAUUGUAACCAUCAACGAUUACCCCGGUCUGUUCUCACUAUCAGGGCAGAUCAAAGGGAAGACCGGCUGCGUAGUGUGCAUCGACGGGACCUGCUACACUUAUCUCCAGGGAUCUCACAAGAUGGUGUACAUGAGGCAUAGACGGUUCCUCGUCAAGAAGCAUAGGUACAGAAGAAGUGUUAUGAAUCAGUUCUUCGCUGAUGAGGAAGAGCCGCAGGGUGAAGCACCAGCGCAGACUAGUUGGGGGCCAAAGGUGUAUGAGAUGGUGAAGGAUAUGGAUCACAUAGAGUUUGGCAAGAAGAAGAAGAAGGUACCAGAAGAAGAGGGGACAAAACAGACAAGGAAGCGAAAGCGAGACACGAAGGAGGACGCCACACCGCCUGUCCCUUUCAAGAAGAAAUCGAUUUUCUUCAAGUACCUGUCAUACUGGAAAACCCUAAAAACACCCCAUGCCAUUGACUGCAUGCACCUCGAGAAGAACGUCUUUGAUAGCACCAUCGGUGUCCUAUUGGACGUCAAGAGCAAGACGAAGGAUGGCCUCAAGUCACGGUUGGAUCUUGUGAACCAGGGCAUCAGGAAGGACCUUCACCCGGGUCUGACUCAUAAUGGCAAAGUCGAUCUACCAGGUGCGUCUUACAACCUAAGGCAUGAUGAGAAGAUUGCUAUGCUCAAGUUGUUGAGGGGUAUCAAGGUGCCGACCGGUUUCUCUUCCAACAUUAAGAGUCUGGUGUCCAUGAAAGACCUCACACUAGCCGGCUACAACUCACAUGACUGUCACGCCAUGCUGACGGUGUUCCUUCCAAUCGUGAUUAGGGCUAUCGGUCCAGAAUACGUGAAGAUGGUGGUCACUCGGAUGUCAUACUUCUUUAACCGUAUCACCCAGAAGGUCAUCGGUAAGGCUGAUCUGCCUGCCCUAAAGGAGUUCAUUGCAGAGACCCUCUGCCAGCUCGAGAUGUGCUUUCCCCGUCUUACUUUGAUAUUAUGCCACACCUGAUGAUGCACAUGGUUGAUCAGAUCGAGCAACUUGGCCCCGUGUACCUACACCAGAUGUGGACGUACGAGCGGUUCAUGUCCACCCUCAGCAGAUACGUCCAUAACCGUGCUUACCUAGAAGGCUCCAUGAUCGAGGCAUACACAACUGAGGAGUCCGUGAAUUGGUGCAUGAGGUACAUAAGAGAUGGGAGAGCGAUUGGGAUGCCUGUCCAUCAGCACGAGGGCAGAACCGUGGGGUUGGGGUGUACUGGACGCAAAGUACGCACCGAUAUACCAUAUAAAGAUGUGGAACAAGCUCAUUACAGUAUCCUUCAUCAGUUAGUGAGCAUGGAGAAGUAUGUUGACAUACAUGUAGAAGAGAUCCGCGCCGCGCAUGAUGGACAACACACAGAGGAAUGGGUGCAGAAAGAGCACAAGAGCACUUUCCUAUCCUGGCUUAAAGAGCAACACGUACCCCUAGAAGGCUGUCCUGAUGAAGAUACAGACACCAUUAAGAAGCUUGUGCUAGGUCCGUCCACCCAAGUCACCACGUGGCAAGGGUAUGACGUCAAAGGGUACCGGUUCCACACGAAAGAAAAGGACAAGAAGAGCACCGCACAGAACAGCGGUGUUCGAUAUGAGGGUGUCGACGAGGCCACAAACUCGAGGACGCAAUACUAUGGGCAGGUCGAAGAAAUAUGGGAACUUGACUAUGGCAAAGACGUUCGCGUAACCAUCUUCCGAUGCCACUGGGUUAACCCAAAAGCGGUUGUGGUGGAUAAUUAUGGGCUAACCACCGUGAACCUCAAAAGUACCGGCUACAAAGAUGAUCAGUGGGUACUUGCAACCAAUGUCGCGCAAGUGGCCUACUAUAUCUAUCCGGAGGACACAAAGAGGCAUGUGGUUGUUUCAGGAAAGCAACGGAUCGUUGGAGCUGAUGGGGUACAGAGCCCAGAACAAUACAACAACUAUGAAGAGCUUGAGCUAUUUACCGAUCUACCAAAGAAGGUGAAGACCAUCGAGGACCGUUGCAACAAGAGUGGAAUGAAGCCGUGGGCCCGACACGAUGGUGAGGUGCGGUUUGUGAAAGCGCCUGCACCAAAAUGAGAGAACUAUUUAAGAUAAUGGGCAAUUAUUGUAAUACCUCUUUGUGGGGGUAUAAACCCCUAUACCCUUACGGCUAGACUUCAGCCAGGAAGCUUGACCCACUACGAGACGAGUUCAAGGCUUGAACCGACAAGCCGAGUUUCGCGCAAGGAAACAAGACGUGGAGAUCAAGCAGGAUUCUAGUCGGUUAGAAUAGGAAUUGAUAUCGAAUUAUCUAUGGCAAUUGUAACCGACUAGGAUUAGUUUCUAGAUCUGUAACCCUGCCCUCCAGACUAUAUAAGGAGGGGCAAGGGACCCCCCUAGGACAGGAUAUUCUCUCAACACAAUCCAAUACAACCAGACGCAGGACGUAGGUAUUACGCCAACUCGGCGGCCGAACCUGGAUAAAAAGCUUGUCCGUGUCUUGCGUCACCAUCGAGUUCGUAGUUUGCGCACCGUCUACCGAUAAACUACUACCGUGGGUAUACCCCAAGGUAGACUGCCGACUAGCUUUCGUCGACAGUGGCGCGCCAGGUAGGGGGUGUGCGUGCAACUUUUCCGGCGAACAAGAUGGUCACGAUCCCAGCUUCCGCGACCGUGCCCGAAGGCCUCACGUUCACCGUCGGCCAGAUCACGUGGACGACGUGCAGCGGCGGCUUCCCGACCACGGUUCCGAAAGAGAUCCAGAUCCAAUCUGAGAUCACGCCGUCUCCGACCACACGCAUGACGGCACCAAGCUCCCGACCACUCUUCCCACUCUACAAGGGAAAGGAGAUCGACUGCUCGGACCUCCUCCAAGCGCUCGAUCGCGCCGACUCCAAGCUGCUCGAAGUCUCCCAACUAAUAGAUGGAGUUCUGCGCCGGCCCGACCAAGCCACUCGAGCAGAUUUUUCGAAAUCCCGCUGGCCAACUCGUGUCACCACACACGAACGACUGGGAACGUCCCUGACGAUAACCUCAACCCCCUCAGGACGAUCCGUCGAGCUCAAAAAGGGAGACCAUCCUUGCGGCCUGAAUAACUCAGCCUCUGUUUACUCACAGCACGUUCAAUCCGUUUUCAGCAAAGCGGGCUGGUCGCCGACAAGGAACAAUCGUCACCAUGUCAACAUGGUGACAAUCCGAGAGCUACGGGACGGCCAGGUUUCCAGCACCAACUCAAGCACCGGCUCCGUCCCCACCGAGGUUAUAAACACCGAAGACGAGGGCUACGACCUGGAUUUUCCUUCACACCCUCCGGGUUUCGACCGAUUCCCGAUAUUCCCCCCCCGGCGAGGGGAUAUCGUGUUCAAUGUCAGCGCCGACGAGCCGGUCGUUGACGGAGAAACAGAUGACCAGAGGCAACUCCGCGAACAGCGUAACGCCGAUCGCGCCCGACGGCGUGCGGACGAACAACAACAGAUGCCACCAAGUAACCUCAACGAUGCCUUUGACAUGGUCGGGGACCAGCCGGUCUACAAAACGCCAAGCGCCAACGUGGCUGUCGCCAUGGCCAACCUGGAUCGGCUUCCUGACACCCCCGAAUGCCAGGGAGUCCGGACCAGUAUCCGAGCACACCUGAUCGCCGCAAUGGGACAGACAGCCACUCUGCUCAAGAGAGUCCAGGACGUCUCUUAUACGGAAGCCGCCUCCGACCAGACUAAUCGCAGCCGGGCCUCAACCAGCAGGCGCCGCCGCAGCCGCUCCCCCGACAACCGUCGAGGGGACUCACGGCGCGACGAUGGUGGUCGGGACGCCGAUGGCCGCCGCCAGCAGAACCGUGUACGCGGCCAAGAAGAAGAAGAUCAACACAGGGAUCUCCGCCACAACAUCCCUCCCAAAGAUGCCCGGGAUCGCAUCAACAGGCGCGCCGCAGAGAGAGCAGUCCACGAAAACCUGCGCCGCAUCGAGUACGACGUGACCCACGGUCCCCCGGGCCUAAGGCAGUUCUCCUCGCACCUCCGCCAGGUCGUGUGGCCCCGCAAUUUCAAGCUCGAAAAACUUAAAAAAUACGACGGCAAGGAAAAUCCAGAGAACUGGAUCACUCUUUAUGAAAUCGCCGUCCGAUCAGCGGCAGGAGAUGAGCACGUCAUGGCUAACUACUUCCCCGUAGUCCUCGACCAGGCUGGUCAUCAGUGGCUUCUCGGCUUGCCCGAGGACUCCUUCGAAUCUUGGGAAGAGCUACGAUAGGCUUUCAUCGACAACUUCAUCGCCACAUGCGAGCAGCCCGGGAACAAGUAUGACCUUGAAAGGAUAAGAGACAAGAAGAAUGAACCUCUGCGCGAUUACAUCCGACGAUUCUCGGAUAUGCGCCUCAAAAUCCCGAAGAUUUCUCACGACGAGGCCAUAUCAGCGUUUAUCAAGGGUUUGCGUUUCCAUGAAGCGCUGAGGAACAAGCUGCUGCGUAAACGCCCAUCAACGGUAGCAGAGCUCCUCGCCACGGCUAAAAACUACGCCGAUGCUGAUGACGCAGAAAAACUAAUCCGAGACGACGCGAGAGGCCCCGACCAGCCUUCUCGGCGGGAUGACGGUCGUGGUCGCUACGACAACAGAAAUCACCGCCGCUCCGACAACCGCGACCACCGAGAGGGCUGGGAUCGGCGGCGCGACAGCCGCGACGACUUCAGAGGAAAGCGCCCUCGUGAAUACGACCACGAAGUAAAUACGGUCAAACGUCCCAACGGACGACGGGACUACCAAGACGACUACAACAAAACGUUGAAGGGACCGUGCCAGCUACACCCGAAGUCUAACCAUACCAUGGAAGAGUGUCGCGUCUUCAAAAGUAUCUAUACACGGCGGGCCGCCCAAGAGGACUCCGCCAAGAAAAAUAACAAACGCGACGGGCACGACCACGAAGAUGAGGAUGAGGACCAAGACAGGGACCCCCGACACCAAUACGUCAGCCCCACCGACGUGGUCCACUCCAUUUUCGGGGGCAAGGUCUCCACUGAGUCCAAGCGAGAAAGAAAGCUGUUAAAGAGAGCCUGCCUCAACAUAGACAGCAUGGACGGGCUGAUCGCAGAUCCAAAAUUUCCCGCGUGGUCCCACAGGGAGAUCUCGUUCAGCAGGAAGGACCAGUGGGCCGCUAUCCCAGAGCCGGGACGUUUCCCACUGAUUCUUGAUCCCUGCAUCAAUAGCAUCAGAUUCGAGCGCGUGCUCGUGGACGGGGGAAGCUCCAUCGACAUUCUCUUCCGCAACAGCCUGCCCGCCCUAAAGAUAUCACCGGCGCAACUAAAACCUUACGACGCCCAAUUCUGGGGGGUUUUGCCAGGUCAAAGUUCGGUGCCCCUCGGACAGAUAACACUGCCCGUCCAAUUCGGCACACCCGAUCACUUCCGGACGGAGUUCAUCAACUUCGUAGUCGCGGACUUCGACGGGACCUACCACGCCAUACUGGGCCGCCCAUCGCUGACAAAGUUCAUGGCAGUCCCGCACUACUCAUACCUAGUGCUUAAGAUGCCCACGGAGAAGGGUGUCCUGACCGUCAGAGGCAACGUCUACACUGCGUACACCUGCGAAGAAGAAAGUUUCAAGAUCACCGAGGCAAUUGACCUCUCAAUCCGCAUGGCGGAAACAGCAAACCAAGCCGCACAGCUGCCCCCCGACCAGCUCCGAUUACCUGAGCAGGAGACAGCUAGAAAGAAUUCGAAAUCCAAGGAGUACAAAGAAGUGCAGCUGGUCGAAGGCAACCCCGAGAAGACAACCCUCAUCGGGGCUAACCUGGAUCCAAAAUAGGAAGACGCGCUCGUCAGGUUUCUAAGGGACAACGUGAGCGUUUUCGCAUGGAAACCCGCAGACAUGCCCGGUGUCCCACGAAACCUGAUCGAGCACUCCUUAAACGUCUCGAAGACCGCAAGACCAAUCAAGCAAAAACUGCGACGGUUCGCUCGUGACAAAAAGGAGGCUAUUAGGACAGAAAUAACACGGCUUCUAGCAGCCGGAUUCAUAAAAGAGGUGUAUCAUCCCGAUUGGCUCGCCAAUCCGGUUCUUGUACGCAAAAAGAAUAAUGAAUGGAGAAUGUGUGUUGAUUACACCGAUCUCAACAAACACUGUCCUAAAGAUCCUUUUGGUCUUCCUCGCAUCGACGAGGUGGUCGACUCAACGGCCGGAUGCGAACUCCUCUCCUUUCUAGAUUGCUACUCUGGUUAUCACCAGAUCUCGUUAAAAGAAGAAGAUCAGAUCAAAACAUCCUUCAUCACACCCUUCGGCGCAUACUGUUACACUACCAUGUCUUUCGGACUUAAAAACCCCGGGGCCACUUAUCAAAGGGCCAUCCAGCAAUGCCUCCACGACGAGAUUCGCGAUGACCUCGUCGAGGCCUACGUAGACGACGUGGUCGUAAAAACAAGGGACGCGAGCACCCUAAUCGACAACUUAGACCGAACCUUCAAGGCACUCAAUAGGUACAAGUGGAAGCUCAACCCCAAGAAAUGCAUUUUCGGCGUUCCUUCCGGUCUACUGCUCGGCAACGUCGUCAGUUGCGACGGCAUACGACCAAACCCUUCAAAAGUCAAAGCCGUACUCGACAUGCGACCACCGAAGAACGUCAAGGAUAUUCAGAAGCUAACCGGAUGCAUGGCCGCCCUCAGUCGUUUCAUCUCAAGGCUGGGAGAAAAAGGCCUCCCUUUCUUCAAACUAUUGAAAGCGUCAGAAAAAUUCUCCUGGACAGAAGAAGCCGACGCUGCGUUCACUCAGCUUAAGACCUUCCUCACUUCACCGCCUGUCCUCACAGCGCCUCAGCCCAAUGAAGACCUGCUCCUUUACAUUGCUGCAACCGACAGGGUUGUUUCCACGGCAAUAGUGGUCGAGCGAGAUGAACCAGGUCACGUCUUCAAGGUCCAGAGACCCGUUUACUUCAUAAGUGAAGUUUUAAACGAAUCCAAGGCCAGGUACCCACAAAUACAGAAGCUUAUAUACGCCAUCCUGAUAACGUCAAGAAAGCUGAAGCACUACUUCGACGGCCAUCGAGUCCUGGUGACAACCAGCUUUCCUCUCGGGGACAUCCUGCGCAAUAAAGACGCCAAUGGCAGAAUCGUGAAAUGGGCAAUGGAAUUAUGUCCAUUUUCCCUAGAGUUCCAGAGUCGCACAACUGUCAAGUCUCAAGCCCUGGUCGAUUUCAUUGCCGAAUGGACGGAUCUCAACGAGCCUUCCGUUCCAGAUGUCUCAGACCACUGGUCAAUGUUCUUUGAUGGGUCCUUGAACAUCAACGGUGCAGGCGCUGGGAUAUUGUUCGUAUCACCAAACAAGGACAAACUCCGCUACGUCCUUCGGAUCCUUUUUCCGGCGUCAAACAAUGUCGCCGAAUACGAAGCUUGUUUACAUGGCGUACGACUAGCCGUCGAACUGGGGAUCAAGCGCCUCUAUGUCUACGGCGACUCUGCUUUGGUCAUCAACCAGCUCAACAAGGAGUGGGACGCAACCCACGAGAAGAUGGAUCUCUACUGCAAAGAAAUUCGCAAAUGGGAAACUAACUUCUAUGGCAUAGAGUACAUCCACGUGGUCCGGGAUAAGAACCAAGCAGCAGAUGCGUUGUCAAAGUUAGGCUCGUCUCGGGCCCAAAUCCCGCGGGGUAUUUUCGUCCAGGACAUCCAUGAGCCGAGCAUAAGCUCCCCCCUGGUCGACAAGCAACCCACCGAGGCAAUGCUCAUAGAUGACGCCACUCCGACAACCGGUGGGCGUGACUGGCGUACCCCGUUCAUCAAAUACAUCUCAGACGGGACAGGUUUUCAGGACAAAACAGAGAACGAGCGUCUCAUCCGACGAUCAAAGAACUACAUCCUGGUCGACGGAAAACUCAUGCGGAAAAACGCAAGCUCCGAGGUACUGCUCAAGUGCAUACCCCAAGACGAUGGUAUCAAGCUCUUGGAGGACAUACACGCCGGAUCCUGCGGCAACCACGCCGCAUCUAGAACGCUGGUCGGAAAGGCUUUCCGAGCAGGUUUUUAUUGGCCAACCGCGGUCAGCGACGCAGAAAAACUGGUUCGGCAUUGCGAAGGAUGUCAGUUUUUCGCUAAGAGGACCCACGUACCUGCCCAUGAAAUUCAAACCAUCCCGUCGUCUUGGCCCUUUGCUUGCUGGGGGCUUGACAUGAUCGGACCAUUUAAACCAGCCCCGGGCAACUUCAAGUUUGUCUUCGUGUUAAUCGACAAGUUCUCCAAGUGGAUUGAAUACAUGCCCCUGGUCAAGGCAACAUCCGAGAAGGCUGUGGAGUUCCUCAAUCAAAUCAUACACAGAUUCGGCAUCCCGAACAGCAUAAUCACCGACCUGGGCACUCAGUUUACUGGCACCACUUUUUGGGAUUUCUGCGAUGACAGAGGCAUAGUCAUAAAAUAUGUGUCAGUGGCACAUCCACGUGCCAACGGUCAAGUUGAACGUGCUAACGGAAUGAUCGUCGACGCCUUAAAGAAAAGAUUGUACACCGAGAACGACAGAGCACCCGGUCGAUGGAUGAAAGAAUUGCCGGCAGUGGUCUGGGGCCUCCGAACUCAGACCAGUCGAAACACAGGGGUGUCUCCCUAUUUCAUGGUGUACGGCGCAGAGGCGGUCUUGCCGUCUGACAUACACUUCGGAUCUCCUAGAAUCGAGCACUUCGACCAGGCGACCGCCGACAACGCCAGAGAACUCGAAAUCAAUUGCAUGGAGGAAAAGCGUUUAGUUUCAUGUCUCCGAACAGCAAAAUAUCUCGCGGCAGUCAGGCGAUACUACAACAGGAACGUCAAGGACCGUUCCUUCGUGGUCGGCGAUCUGGUGCUCCGAUGGAAAACAAGCCAGGAGGGAAUGCACAAGUUAUCCACUCCCUGGGAAGGACCCUUCGUCGUGACCGAGGUCACACGACCUACGUCCUACAGACUGGCAUACCCAGACGGAACACGAGUACCUAACUCUUGGCACAUCGACAAACUGCGACGUUUCUAUCCAUAAAGUUUUAAUGACUUCCUUUUGUAAGUAUCUUAUAAUUUUUGAUAAUAAGAUUCUCUAUUUUUUGCCUAUACCUUGUCAUACACAGCACUCGGCAAAACUCCUGCAAUGGAUGCUCUUGGCGACAACCAAGACAAAUACGGUGACACGUCACUCAGAUAUUGUACAGCGCUCAAAACAACAGUCAUGACAAAAAAAGAAAACUUUAUUACAAACUUUACAUACAAAGUUUACAAUAAAUACCCUGACGGGCAGAUACUAGUCUAUUCCUACAGACUACUUUAUUGGCCUAGCUGCUCGGGCUGAUCACCCGCCUGGCCCUGCUGCCCGGACGAAGGGGUCGGGGCCACCGGCGCCUGGCUGGUCGAGACCGCAGGCGUCGACCGCCCAUCUCCAGCAACGGACGCGCCCGACAACUCCCUGGCCGACCUAUCUGAGCUCGGCUGGUCUGGAGGAGUGGCCGUUCCGCACAGGUUGAUGUCGCCGAUCACUGUCGACGACAAGUCCAGCAGACUACCCCGAAGUUCGUCCGCUUCCUGUGGGCCGACUUCCUUCGGGUACCCCUUCUCCAGCCUGCUCAAGUCGACCAGGGGGUAGUGGGCGCGUACCAUGCUGAGGACGUGCGCGCCGGCAAACUCCCCGGCAUCCUUCACAAACUGCUGGAGCCAGUCCCACGCCCGUUGCGCCUUCUCGACCGGGGUCAACUGCGGCACACGGGGCUGGCUCUCCGGGAGCUCGGGACUGAUCAGGUCCAGGACCGGGGACACUCCCUUCCAGAUCCUGCAACAGUUGACCUUCCAGGAGUCCCGGUCCUUGAUCAGGUCAUCCAGGUGCUUUUUGGUGUUCACCUUGAGCACUGCAAACGAAACGAAACGUUACUUUCGGCAUACCAGACAAGCAAAGGGGCAGGCAGCAACCAACAAGGCGGCACCCAUUACCAGCUAACUCCCGGUCUUUUCGACCCAAUUCCUCUUCCGCUCGCCGCUCGGACUCCUGUGCACUGGCGAGCUGUUGGCCGAGCUGCUCCUUCUCUUGUUGGAGGCUCGCCACCUCCUCCUCCAAGUCUGCGUGAAUCCUAAACUGGUCAGCAAAGCAAACUAUACAAGUAUGCGAAACUGCUCGGAGCGUGUGACUAACCUUCCUGCAGCCGGUACUGGUCGGCCAGACGACGAGCGAGGUCGAGACGACGCUCCUUUUCGGCGCUCAUCUCGACCACCUUCUCCCCGACCUCCGCCCGCAACCGGUCUACCUCCGCGGCAAGGGCCUUGUUCUCGGCCAUGACGCCUUCUAUCUGGUCAAAGCACCAUUUCCGGUACUUUGCCGUUUUCAUUACGUCCUACAAAGCAAGCAUGUAACGAUCAAGCAAGACAAGGCAAAAGAAUGCGCAGUAGCACAAAAGGCCGCUUACCUUGACUUCGUCGACAAGGCGCUUGGCCGCGCGCUCCACCCUGGCGGCCUCUUCGGACUCGGCAAGCUCCUCAUGACCGAUAAAGUUAUCCCCGCGUUGGCGCCACACAUACACGUGUUGGCGGCCAUCACGGGGACGACCCUCGAUCUCUUCCACCUCGUCGUCGGAGGCCGCCCUGGUCUCCUCCUCCUGGGCUGCGUCACCCCCGGUGGUGGUCCCAGGCAUCACUGGCCCUUGGACCAGACCUGGGGAGCCCGCAGCCGGAGAGGCUCCUGCUCGGGGCGGCGGGGGGACUUCACUCCCUCCGGCAGGAGGAGCGGUCGGAGAUCUUCCCUUCUCCGAGGAGUCAGUUGGGGGAGCCUCUCCAGCCCUGGUCGGGCUGCUUGUUGUAGUCGGCGCCGCGCUCGGGAGCCCCUCGGUGCCCCCAGGCGCGACUGCAGCUGUUGCCUGCUCUGUGGUCUGGGGGGCCGCAUCCCCAGAACCGCGGGCAGGCUCGCCCGUUCCCUGGCCGGCAGUUUGGCCAGGGUCGACAUCCGAUGCCGCACUACAGGAACAAAAGUUUAAAAAAAAAAGGAGAGGAGUCCAAAAUUCGUAAGUCGAACACUUACAGGUCUGACCGACGAUGGGUCGCGGUAAACCUCCUCCUCGCCCGGCCGGUCGGCGCCUGUGCCCCCACCUCGGCAACCUGCGGGGCAGCGGCGCCGCUGGCCACUCGAUCAGUGGCGACCGGCGCAGUGUCUGGGCGGUUCCGAGGCCGUCGGACCAACGACGGCGCAGCCUCCUCGUCGUCGUCGUCGUCGACGAUCCGCACGAGCCGACGACGCUUUGGCGCUUGGCUGCUCUCCGCCGGUAGGUCUGCCGGCAGCUCCGGUGUCGGCAAGGGAUCCGCCGGCAAUGGCCUUUUCCCCGCUACCCUCUCCUCGGAGGUCGGGACGGGGCGGGCUCGGUCUUCCUCACUGCUGGUGUAACGAGUACACCGAGCAGCGUCCUCCUCCGGCGGGACCUCUCCCACAGGAUCUUCCAUUCCCGGUGCCAGUGAUACAUACACUGCGCACCGGUCGACAUCACCGACCUGCAAAAGCAACAGAGAUGAGUUAACUGCAGACGAUAUACGAAUGAUCAAACAGACUCUGCUACAUACCUUUGGUGCUGGUCGUCCUAACUUGAAGGCUUGCACCCGAUCACUGCCACGGAUGAAGCCCCCAUCUGCGAAGUUAAACAGCUCGUUCAACAGCUGUUGUACCUCCGCUUUCUCCAAGAUCUCCGACCGCAUCCUGGUCGGGUCUGCGCUUCCGGCAUACUCGUACGCCGAGUGCACCCUCUUCUGGCAGGGCAUCACCCGGCGGCAAAUGAAGUUGCCGACCACGCCAAGCCCAUCCAGACGCGACCAGUCGAUCAGCUUCAUCAGAUCCGCCACUUGACCGUCGAACUCUGGGCGGUCGGUCCAGCUCGACCUCUUCUCGGGAAUGUACCCCACGUCGCAGAACGUGGAGCUGCCCGGUUCCUCCCUGACGUAGAACCACUUCCUGUACCAUUCGGUCAAGGAAGUGUUCCAUGGGCAGUGCAGGUAGCGAUUCUUCAUCCCAUCACGAAGGUUGAGGUAUACUCCACCUGCAACCUUGGAGCCUCCAACUGCUCCCUUCUUCCUCAAGCAGAAAAGGUACCGGAAAAGAUCGAAGUGCGGCUCUAUGCCAACAUAGGCCUCGCACAGAUGGAUGAAGGUGGAAAUAAGGAGAAUUGAGUUCGGGUGCAGAUUGCAAAUCCCGAUCUCAUAGUACAAAAGAAGUCCUUGAAGAAAAGGAUGGACAGGAACACCAAAACCUCUCUUAACGAAAUCUUCAAAAACGACGAUCUCACCGGCGCGAGGGUCGGGGUAGCUCUCCCCCUCCGGUGCCCUCCAGCCGCCGAGCUCUGCGUCGUGCAGAAGCCCCAUAUCGACGAGGUCACCAAGAGAUUUUGUGGUGCUGCGAGACUUCUUCCAUUCCUUGGCCAUCAGUUCGGCCCUCUUCCUGGAGUCGCUCUUCGCCAUUAGAGGUGCGAAUGUGGGCUGGAGUUAGGAAGAUGCAGGAGAUUGGAGAAGAUGAGAGCGGAAGGUUUGAAGGCAAUGGCAGGAGAAGCGGUACAGGUGGUCCUAUUAGGCCCUUAUAAACCCGCGACCCCACCUCUCCCACUUCCUGUAUUCUCGGGAAGUGGGCAGGCCAUGCGGCGGACGCGGUGUUUCGGUUUACAAUGAUUAUAGACAAUUAAUGCGGCGGAGUUUUCGUACCAAUUGAUGGUUUCCUUUUCUCAAACCAUGCAAAGAGCGGUUGUACAGUUGCCAGGUACAGCUUUUCAUGCAUCCGUCUGACAUAUCGUCAGGAGACCCCGUCACGUCAACUUUAAAUUUGAAAGACCUUUUCAAAAGUAAGAAGACACAUACGCCAGUGAGUCAGCAAUCCGGGGACUGCACCGACCACCGAGCACUUGACGCUCGGGGACUGGUUGCCCAGUCUAUCAGCUCGGAACUUCAAGGACUGCACCGACCACCGAGCACUCGACGCUCGGGGACUGGUUGCCCAGUCUAUCAGCUCGGAACUUCAAGGACUGCACCGACCACCGAGCACUCGACGCUCGGAGACUGGUUGCCCAGUCUAUCAACUCAGAACUUCAAGGACUGCACCGACCACCGAGCACUCGACACUCGGGGACUGGUCGCUCAGUCUAUCAGCUCAAAGCUUUAAAGCAUGCUUAGGAAACUGAGCACUCGAUGCUCGGGGACUGGUCGUACAGUAUAGUAACAUAUAAUUCCAAGCAGCACACUAAGUGCCUGGGGACUGGUCGAUUGGUCUUUUCGAUUGCAGACGAGCAUGACAUGCUCGGGGACUGGUAAAUUCAAUUUUUUAGACCUUGCUACAAGGCACAUACUUCGCCUUCCAGCAAGCUCGGGGACUACAUCGGUACGAUGCAUCUAGCGAUGCAUCUCAGUCUCAAAACUACUUUGGGGAAUUUUCUUUUGACCCUGGCACCACGUGCCUACGCCACCUACUACCAGGCUCGGGGACUAAGUGGGCACACUUCACCUAGCGGUGAAUUUGGUUGCUUUUUUGGUACUUCUACCUUUCAAAAAGGCAAAGUGGGCACACUUCACCAGGAAAGAAAUUUUUUUUAGAGCACCAUGCAUUCUUCGAACAACCUGCUUCUUCGAUGUCAACGUUGAUCAACUGUCUUUCGAGUUGGACAAGGAACCGUUGCAACUGCUUGGGCGAUUUCCCCGCUUAUUGAAGACGACAAGCCUCGCUGAUCGAAGAAGCUCAAGACGGCGUGUUGCAUCACAAUACAUGGCGCUCGGGGACUAGCUGUGGGGGUAUAAACCCCUAUACCCUUACGGCUAGACUUCAGCCAGGAAGCUUGACCCACUACGAGACGAGUUCAAGGCUUGAACCGACAAGCCGAGUUUCGCGCAAGGAAACAAGACGUGGAGAUCAAGCAGGAUUCUAGUCGGUUAGAAUAGGAAUUGAUAUCGAAUUAUCUAUGGCAAUUGUAACCGACUAGGAUUAGUUUCUAGAUCUGUAACCCUGCCCUCCAGACUAUAUAAGGAGGGGCAAGGGACCCCCCUAGGACAGGAUAUUCUCUCAACACAAUCCAAUACAACCAGACGCAGGACGUAGGUAUUACGCCAACUCGGCGGCCGAACCUGGAUAAAAAGCUUGUCCGUGUCUUGCGUCACCAUCGAGUUCGUAGUUUGCGCACCGUCUACCGAUAAACUACUACCGUGGGUAUACCCCAAGGUAGACUGCCGACUAGCUUUCGUCGACACUCUUUUUAAGACAAGUCUUAUAUUUAAUGAAGUAGUGGACACAUAGCACACACAUCUAUAUGUAAUGAAGUAGUAGUGGAUAAUUAUUGUAUAAUGUAUCUUUUUAAGAUAUGUAAGUUUUGUAAUUCAGCUAUUUAUAAAUGUCAAUUUAUUUAUAUCUCUGUAGCUAUUUACAAUUUUCAAAUUAUCAAAAAAAUUGUCACAUUAUCAAAAAAAUUGUUCAGGGAACAACCGUAGCGGGCUUCUUAAGGAGCCCGCUGCGGUAAAUAUUAACCGCAGCGGGCAUCUUAAAGAGCCCGCUUCGGUUAAUGUUUAUCGUAGCGGACUGUUUAAGACGCCCGCUGCGGUUAAUAUUUACCGUAGCGGGCGCGUUAAGACGCCCGCUACGGUUAUUUCCGCACUAUAAAAACACGCGGCCCUCUGCCCUAAAAUUUUCAGUCAGUCGCGCGGUUCUUCCUCCCCCGAAGGGCUGCCAAAUUUUCGAACUCCCGCCGCCGCCGUCGUUUCGUCCCCGUCCACCAUUCGCCCUCGCCCUCGCUCUCGAACUCGCCCUCGCCCUCGCCCUCGCCCUCGCUCUCGCUCUCGGACUCGCCCUCGCCCUCGCCCUCGCGCUCGCUCUCGCUCUCGGACUCAAACUCGCCCACGCCACCGCCCCCGCGCUGGCGACCGCUUUGGUCCUUCGCGGAGCCGAGCACCCCAAACCCUAAACCUCCAGGAGUACCGCCACCGCUGGUGACCUCGAAGUCUUCCCCAGGUCGACUCUCUAAUUUCUCUUCAUUACCUUAUAGCAUUGGUCAGUAUGUGUGCUGCUUCAGUUUGGCUUCUUAUUUGUUAACCCAAAUUGUGAAGAGAAUAAGUCAGAUCAUAGCUAGCUGAGAUAUGUGCUACCUGAGAUUAAACUAGAUAUGCUCUCUAGUUUUAUUUUAGUUUUUUUAGGUUUAAGGAUACCUAGAGUUUAGUUUCAGUUUAGUUUAGCAUUUCAUUUUUUAGUUUAGCAUUAAGCUUCAGGCUAUAUAUUCAGUUUAAGUUCUUGUAUUUUCUCCCAAUCUUGAAAAUAGUUUCAGUAUAUAUUUGCUUUAGUUUUGGUUAUUUUUUGAGUUUUGUUCCUUUUCUAAAAAGAAAAAAAUGGAAAAUAUUCCAUAUAAGCCACCAGGGUCUCUUUAUCUAGGUAAUUCAGUUUGAAAAAAUAUAAUAAUACUGAUAGUUAGGUCUAUGUUCAGUCCGUUACAGGAUGCCACAAACCUUUAUAUUUCAAGCUCUUUUUACAUUUCUAGUCUACCAAUUCUUAUAUUUGUCUUUGGGCACAUAGAAAUGGCGGACGACCCGUUCCAGAAUUGGAGGGAGCCUACCCCUAGCUCAUCUUCAACUAGCUAUGCAAGUGGCGCGUCCCUGACCCCACCGCAAAAGAAACGUCGAACCGAGGAAGAUGUAGAUCCGACGUACAAUCCGGCGGAUGACGAAGCCCACAGUGCACAGAUCCCAGUUGUGCCUCGGGCGUUAGAAUUUGGGUCCGGAGAAGAGAACAGACAUGAAGAAGGCCCCGCUCCCUCCACGACAACCUCAGAAUCCAAGCAGAAGCGGAGGAGGGGGCAACACGGGAGGCACCAGAGGGAGUUGACUGACGUGGUGCACGUGAUCCUUGAGGUGGGGCUAGAGGGAAACCCACUGAGUCCGCAAGAGGUACAUGGCCGGUUCAGCAACCAAGUGUCCUGCAUAGUCAGAGAUAAGGUGUUGAUCACUUGGCCGAGCUGGCACCAGGUCCCGAAAGACGUCAAGGGCAAUGUAUGGGGUGAGGUUACCCGGAAGUUCACUUAUCCCGAAGGCGCAGACAUGGAGAAGUGUUAUGAGUGGGCCAUGCACGUGUCGUCCUGUGCCUUUCUCAACUUCAAGUCGAUGCUGGCACGGGACUUUCUAAAGAAGAAGAAGUCACCCUGCCAGAAAUACACUAUGGUGAAGGAGCAUGUGUGGGAAGAAUUUUGCCGAAUGAGGACGACUGCUGAAGCAGAGGCAAAGAGCGCCAAGUUCAGUGCUCUGGCGAAACAGAACAAGCAUCCCCACCACUUGGGCAUGAUUGGCUAUGUUGGACAUAGGGCUCGAUGGCGGGCAGAAGAACAGGCUAGACAGGCUGCUGGGAUUCCUGAUCCGUACGAAGACGUCGAUGUUAGAGCUAAGGAGUUCAUGUAUGCCCGUGUUCCAAAGAAACUAAAGCCAGGCGCGACCAAGUACAAUGAGCCGGAAUAUGAGGAGAUGGAGAAGGCUCUCGUCCAGGACGCCAAAUCUAAGGACAACAUCGAGGUCCGUAGGGGCCAUGACUUGCUGACCGAGGUCCUCGGAACCCCUGAGCAUCGCGGCCGUGUUCGUGGAGUCAGUGCAAGAUGAGCUGGAAGUUGGUCGAGUCAUGGCAGGCCGACGCAUCCGCAUAUAAGUCGAGGCAGAAGUACAAGGACACGUUGUAUCAAAAAGGCUUCGAAGAAGGCAUGGCUGAGGUGAUCAAACACUCAAUAAAAGAAGCCUUCACGAGCAAUGAGCCUGAAAUGGUGGCGAUGAGGUCACAGAUGUUUCGCGAGGCUAGCCUGGCCACGGCUCCACUUCAACAACCGCAAGGGCUGCCGAUGAUCGAGGGUCAACCAAGGCACUGGACCGAGGACGUCCAGAAAGACACACACGUCCAGCUCCUGAUCCCGUUCGGAAGAUCCAAGAAGAUGUAUAUAGCUGAGGGAAUGCUACAUCCCAAAAGCAUAGAUUUCAGCCCAGAGGAAAUCCCAGAAGGCUAUGUGGUUGUGACCCCACUCUGGAAUGUGCCAGAGCAAGAAGAGUAUGAAUUGGACCUUCCAAACAUCCAGCACGUCAGAUUUCUUGGGCAGGCCAUUGGUCAUGAAGUUCUAUGGAACAAGGAAGACAUUGAGAUCAUUCCACCGACACCAACUCCGACACCGACACCUGUAUCACAGCCAUCAACUGUCGGAUCACAACGAUCAGUGGCUGGAUCUUGUCCCCCAGAUGAUCCUGAUGGCAGUGACGAUGAUGCUGAAGGCAAUGCCGAGGACAAGGGCAAAGGACAAGGCGAUGGCCAUGUCCAGGACAAGGAGAAGGCACAAGACAAGGACGAUGGCGGAGAUAAGGAGAAGGCACAAGUAGAUGAGGGUGACAAAGACAUGGGUGCAACCUGUGCCCCUCCUCCAAAUAGUCCGCCUCGGAGCCCAAGAAGACAAGAAGAAGGAGGCACGGAGGAGGCAACAAGGACUAAGACACCACCGCCAACAUCUACUCCUACGCUUGAAGCUCCUCCUCCACCGAGCAAGAAUGCAGGCAGGACCGCCACAGUGCUCCCAUACACUACUACGUCUGAAAGGUAUGAGACAAACAAACAUAAUAUUCUCGUAACCUUUGUAACACAUAAAAUGGUAAUAACAUUUGUAAGUAUGUUUUGCCAGGCCUACAAAUACUCUCCAGAUCAAUCUAUUUCCCAAGGCGGAAGACUGUCCUGGCCACUAUGAGCUUGGAAAGUUCAUGCUACCUAAGGCCUAGCUCAUCGACGAUGAAAAGUGGGAUACAAGGAAGUUCCACCUAUGGUAUAUGGAAGCGGCAAAAGCCGGGAUGACAGGUUUCACCGUCAAGAUUCCCUCGGAGUUGUUCCACUUGCCCGGGGCAGAUAUUCAGCUGCCUGUGGACUUCCAGGACAUGUACAAUCUAUUGCGGGAAGAAGACCUUGACAUCGUCCAAAUCACCUUAUUCUCUCUGUAAGUGAUGAUUGCGACCUUCAUAGACCAAUCUCUACAUUUGUAUUGGAGAACUAUAUGAUUUUUAGGACACGAUGACUUGUCUGUGCAGGUUGACGGUCACUAUUAGCAACAAAAGGCACCAUCCUAUCCUAUACCUCUCUCCAAUGCAUAUUGCUGAGAGAGUGAUCAAGGGUUUCCAGAUAACGGACCCAGACUUGACCGUGCGGCAGAGGGAAAAGAAGUACGAAGAAAACAUGAAAGAGGAGAAGAAGAAAUUGUCAAGGUAUAUCUUUGAGGUAAUGAAGAAGCUCAACCCGGAUGGGCCGCAUUGUAUUAUGGCUGUCUACCACUUGGGUAAGUCGAAACAUCCAUGUAGAGCAAAAGUGGCUACGGUCAUGCCUUCUCGUUGACAUAACCUAUACUUGUUUCAAUGGUGUAGAAAUGACCUAACCGGCGGCCACUGGGUUGCCUUCCUCGUAUAUCCUCAAGAUGGCCGGGCUGUUAUAUUUGACUCGUUACAGGUACCGAACAAAAAGGGGUACAAGGCCUUCGAAGACUGCUUGAAAAAGUAAGCCACCGAGCUUCUUGAUCCUAUACGGUUAUCAUAUUCAAAUUGACGCUAACACUAAUACACUUCGUGCAGCGCUUAUAGUGCAUAUCUCAAGGAUCCGCAAUGCUGGGAUCGGAGAACGGAGAAAUUCAAAAAGAGGCAUAAGCACCACCUCAAAAUCCGACGAGAUUUCCCCGUAAGUAUAUUUCAAAGGUAGUUCAAUUAUGCUUUUGGUAUAUAUGUGCUCUAAUGCUUUUGUAUCGAUCGUGCAGUGCGCCAAACAACCCUUGGGAUCAAAGGCAUGUGGCUUGUACACCUGCGAGAACCUAAGGGAAAGCAAGGAGUACACCAACAGCUGGAAGAAGCUCAAAGAAGCAGUGAAGAAUCGUGGAGAGACGAUGAAGAAUGAACGCCAAGCUUUUAAGCAAAUCAAGGCGGACAUCUGUAAGUUCAUCCUAGAGAAAUUCGUGCUCGAAGCGAACCAUUCUUCGACAAUGAAGGUGAAUUGGCAGUUCGACCUGAGUUCGAGAAGCUUAGGAGAUGGGACACCAUGCUACGGCCGACGGAUUACACCCACGCAGUAGAAUUGUGAUGUGUAGCGGAUUCGCGGGUUUCAUAUGUGUAUAUGUGGAUGAUGAGAACAACUAAGUGGAUUUAUAUAUUAUGUUGUGUCUUAUGUAUUGAACUUUCAGGCAUAUGUGUGUCUAUAUAUAUAUAUCUUCUGUUUCUGAAAUGAAAUCUACUUUCUGGAAUUUGUAAAUUGUUUAAAUUAUAUGCAGCAAUGGUUCUGCAAUGUGUUUUUUUAUUUAAAAACACUUAACCGUGGCGGGCAACAUAAACUAACCGCUACGGUUAAUGGAAGUAUCCGUAGCGGGCAACAUAAAACGCCCGCUACGGUUAAUCUAUUAACCGUAGCGGGCGACGUAAAGAGCCCGCUACGGUAAAUUGGAAUUAACCGUAGCGGUCCCUUUACGUUGCCCGCUACGGUUAAUCGAUUAACCGCAGCGAUCAGCUUCGCCCGCCACGGAAGUGGCCACGAUUUACCGUGGCCUUAUGGCCGUGGCGGACGCGUUUGCCCGCUACGGAAAAGGGAAAAUGGCCGCCACGGUUAUUCUUUCUGCAGUAGUGUUUACUUUAAUCCUCUUCCGGUUGAGUAUUAGAGUAAUCACUUGCUAGCGUAAACGUGGUGUUUAGGCUAGGGUACUCAUAGAUAUAUAUCCGCUGACUAGCUGGACCGUGGUAGUAGCGAGGAACGUGACAUUUCCGAGAUACCUUUGUAUCCCAUAUCUUGUUAGCAGGACGGGUAGGUUUAUAGGUGCGGGUCGAACAUCCUUUGUGUUGUCUAGAUUCUGUGAGCCUCCCCAAUAGAACAGUAGAUCAUCCUUACCAAGGUUAGAACGAGACUACGGUUGCAGUCUUCUCUAUAUAUCACUCACAUCGAGAAACAUUCUUUGUAGCCUAAAGGGAUAGUAGCAAUAGAUUUGGUUAGUCAGAUGCACCCUUUCUCCUAGUGGUAAAAAUAUAAAUACGAUAACUCUGCAUAACCUCCCAGGUGAAAUGCUCACCGAUAUCCGUGCGCUUGCGGAUCAUUUCCUUAUUGCGUUACCAAAUAUCAACAAGCAUUUCUGGCGCCGUUGCCGGGGAGAAAGACGGUUUGCUGAGAUAACUUUGAGUCUUGCUAUUAUCUUGUAUUAUACUUUUAUACUUUUAUUCUUUUAUCUUUUAAUCUUUAUGGAUAACUCAAAUUCCAUACCUAUUAUUAAAUUUUUCGCACCUUCGGAGACCAGUCAUAGACCAUGGGAGUCAACAAGUCCUGCCCCUAAUUAUGAUCUGUGUCCGGAGUUGAUUGAAUAGGUCAAAACCAACCCUUUUCUAUAGCUGAGGUCCUAUCUUUUAAUCAAGAAGAUAAUGCACUUUUAGCUACACCUAGGGAAUCUGUUAAUCUUUCUAUAAAUUCUGGUUUAGACCUAGCCCUACAAGACCAUGUUUUUCCUAAAUAUUUUCACAUUGGUCUUAAUCAUAUAACCUUUGGUAGAGUCCUUCUUUCUUUAUCUAUUAGUAAAGGAAGGUAUGUCUUCAUUCGUGGACAUCCUUCUUGUACUAGUCUUGAUAGAAAAAUCUUAAAGAUAGAGAAGGAAUCAUCUCCCAGACGAGGAAAGGAAGUUUCAAUAGCCAAUUUCCAAACAUUUCAAUCCCAUAAUUUGGCUAUCCAUCCCAUCCUUGAGCUUAAUAGUUUCUACUAUGCUCUUUCUCUUGAACCUCCCGAUAAUCCUAUGAAUCUCUCUAGACAUCCCAUGCAUAAGAAGGAGGAUCGAGAAGAGCAACAUCGAUGGCUAGAGGGCAUUAAAAAUCCAUGUGCUAUUGCCAUUGAAUGGAAGGAUAAAAUAAACUUGAGAGACAAUCCUAGAGGAAUUUUAAACAUUCAUGAAGAAUGAUCCUUGGAGUUUGAAAAUGAGAGAAGCAACAGUGAGCAUGGAAGUUAUUUCAUAAAUAUCUCACAAAGUCCUUGCUCAUAUAAAACAUCUCCCCAAUCAAUCGGUCUCUCCAUCAUCACCACAUUUGAGAUCUUCAACCCCCUCUUCCUUUCUAUUUAUAAAAACUUUAAAAGGGCGGUUGUCAAUGCAUAUGUCUAUAAUAAAUAUUGCAGAUCUCGUUGAGUUGAUCUUGAUAUAGGUAGGUGUUGGAGGGGAAACUACUUCACCAACAUAACUUGAUGGUUCCUCAAGGACAAGCUUAGUGUCCUAAAACAAGCACUUAUCAGAUCGUAACAUGAACUUCUAAUUAUUUGCAACAUUGCCUUGUGUAUUGAGCAUAUUGAGAUAAUUAUAGAAAUAUUCCUUCGGGUAUUCUUGCCACUAACCUUUCCAGGAUUGGAGCAAGAAGAUCGGAUGAAUGACAAGCGCAAGGUAUGCCCAACCAAUCAUCAUGCAACAUUAAAUUAAAUUCAUCCAAUCUUGAAUUUUGCAAAAUUCAAGCUUGGGGGAGUACUUUACAUAAAACAUCCUUUGCCAUGCUGCUAUGUUGGUUGUCCUUACCUUUGAGACAUGCUCAAUUUGUUAAAUACUAAUCACACUACUUCAUCUCCACUUGAGUAGAUCUCUAUAAAAGCCAUCAUGCUACCUUUGUUUAUCCUAGUAAGUGUUAGUUUGGAAGUACUGGACACACUUCCAAUGGCAUUUAAAUUAAGCGUGGUGCUUAGGUUAAAUAGCCUUCCUUAAUCUGAUUAGACAUGGAGUCUAGUUUGCUUACUGAACUAAAAACUGCUUGAGUAGAUAUUGGUAUAUUUUAUGGGACUAACCCCUGCAGGAGAACUUUCAAUAUCAACCUGGGAAGUCCUGAGAUAAACUCAUAUUGGAGAUGAAGAAAGUGACACACGAAGUUUAACAAUUUACACAAGAAAGACGUAGCUCAUAAGAGAUGAUUCAUGGAGGGUGCCACAAACACGAUGCACAACCGCUAAGAAAGGAAAGCUUCCACAAGGUGAUACUAUACCAUCACUCUUCAAUAACAUCUUAAAGUACUUGAUUAUCACUUUUAUAAGUUCUCCUUGGUUCUGGCAUACACAUGAAUAAAAGAGACAAACAUGUAUGAUUUAUAACUCCAAAUUAACCAUUUCAAUUAAUUCAGCAUGUUUAGUCCUUUAAUCUUUGUUCUUAGUACUACCUUCGUGAUCCCACACUCCUAAUCAUAUAAGCUAAAGUAUUGCACAUUCAAUCUUUGGAAGAUAUAAACAAAACAUAAAUAUAGGUAGAUUAUCUUUCCAUUAGGUUGAGCUAUAUGAUCUGACAAAUGUUUCAAAUCCUACACUCAUGAUCCUAUCAACUUUGUUUUGCUCACUAUGCUUAAGGUUAGAGAAGAACAAAUACACUUUUGGUUCUGUUGGUGUUUUCCACCAACAGGGCCCAUGCACUUGAUCUCUGCCUUGUCUCUAUGAACAGGUACACUUCAAACAAAACAUGGAGGAGUUUUACAACUCCUAGAUUCCACCAAGUGAAGAACCGGGAUCUACGAGCACAAAACACAAUGGAGGUCGGACACUUAGUUUUCCAAAGGAAAUAUUGAAGAACCUCUGUGUUCGAGUUGGUACCUUGUACGCUCCAGCAAACUUCGUGGUGAUAGAGACUGGUACUGAGGAGAGGGCACCCAUCAUCUUAGGGAGGCCAUUCCUAAACACCAGAGCUGUCAUCUACGCUAAUGCUGCCAAGAUCAGUCUCUACAUCAAGGGGAAGAAGGAGACUUUCCUUCAAGAACAAGACUACACAAGCUUCAGAGCAAUCCUGACAUGAACCAAGGAAGAGGACCAACAGGAGGAACAGGAACAAGCAAAUGUAGACCAAGUCAGCUAAGAUGGUCACUGCAGCUCAAGGAGGUCAAGAUCGUCGACUCAAGUCACCUUUCUUGAUCAAGAAGAACGACCCUGGUGUUCCAAGCAUCGAGUGCACAAUCAACGGAUACUCUUUUCAGAAGACAGUCUACGACACCGGAUCUGACGACAACAUAAUGGCCGCAGUCACUUAUCAGCUCCUGCAUGGAACCAUGCCCCUACAACCAAUAUAUUCAGCUCCAGAUGAUUUUCAGGUCAUUGACAUGGGAGAAGACGAGUUCGAUCCACCCAUCAUCCUUGGAAGACCGUUCCUCAGCACUAUCAAAGCCAUUAUCUAUAUUGGAACUAGAGAAGUCCACAUGCACUUCCCCUCUGAAAAGGUACGCCACUACUUUAAUGAUUCUAACUAUAUAGUUGAAGAUUCUAAGCAGAUCAGGACAAAAAGAAGACAACGCAACCGCAACCAGAGGAGGCAAAUCAUCAAGGACGGAUGGGUAGACUUCGAAGGAGAAGUGAUAAGGACUGAAGACAUACAACUUGAACAGAACUGUCCUGAGGAGACCGUAGCACCGAGUCAGGUGUGGAAAGAGAAGAUAGUUAUACACGAAGAGGAGGCGCCGCCGGAACCACCGACUACGCCACCUAGCAAAUCCCAGGACGACUAAGGAAACGGAGAGUCCCGUUCGGAGGACUUAAAAAUACCGAACGCCUUGCCAAGAGGUAAACUUGGUAGUUAUCCUUUUCCAUUCAAUAGUUUUCUUAGUUAAUCAGGUUCAUGCUAUCUUGAAAAGAAAAUAAAAAUGUUAAAAAAUAGUAAGCCCCAUGUGAGUAUGCUCAUGGCAUAAAACCCAUAAGUACUUUCACUGUGGUGGCAUAAAAAUAAAAUAAAUAAGUUUUCAUCUUACAAUAAAAAUAUAAAAAUAGUAAGUGCAUGAUCCUGCUAAAUAAGUAAUAUUUAUUGAGGAGGCUCAACAUGAUAAAGGCUAUAUAUUUAUGCUAACACUUAACCAGUUCCACAAAGCUUUGUUGUCCAUUUGAGCUCCACAGAAUUCAAUGAUCAAAGAAGACUAGCAGACGGAGGACAUCCUAAUCGCUGUUAGGGUGCUGCCAACGUUCCAAAAACACCUCCAUCACCUGCUAGCUACAUCAGAAGAAAUUACGUCAAAAUUCAGCUUGGGGGAGAGCACCCCCAUUUAUCCAGCUAAGUGUUUCUACUCGCGUUUAUACUUUACUCAAAUAAUAAAGAGAUGCAUAAUCAUAAAAACCCAAAUAAAGAUUUUGUGCUUUUAUAUAUAUCUUUGCUUAGUUUUCUAAAUAAAUAAAUAAAUAAAGUUUGCUAUGAACCCUCAUGAUAAACUCUCACAUGAAAAUGAUGAAUAGUUGCUCUGCCAUGACUAGUUCUUAAAAUUAAAAUCUCUCUCAAGUUUAGGCAUAACUGUUAUAAUUUAAACCUGCUCUAAACCUGAACUUGUGGGAAGAGUACUUGAUCUCAAGUCUAAGUCGUUAACGGAUAUGAUAUGGGAAGGUUGAGCUGCUGUUUAUCUGUUCCUAGAGAUGCUAGAAUUCUAGAGAAUUUUAUCUUUGAAAAAUCUUUAAAAUAACACAUGAUGAGUUCCUAUAUGAUGAGAGUUUAAAUUUCUACCACAGCCAUAUAUACAUGCUUGCUAGACUUUGAGCCACAUAUUUACUUUUUACUGCUUAUGAGCAUUGAGUGUGGUCAAGCUGUGUAGACCCUUAGGAGCUUGUCGUGUGGUUAAAAUCAAGAUUCACUUGCACGUUCACUCAUACAUGCUACUUCUACUACGGAAGUACCAUCCACAUAUAUCCACUCAUUUCCAUCUCCAGAUUCACCCAAAAAUUAUUCUACUCCUAAUCUGGGAGAGAAUAGCCAAAAACAUUAUCCUAUCCCUGUUAUUCCCUGUGAAAUAAAUGCUCGAGUUAUCUUGGUUACUACCACUUGCUAUAUUAUUUCAGGAGAUGAGUGCUCUAAAAAAAAGAAGAAGAAAAAAAAGAAGAGAAGAAAAGAAAUAAUAUACGAGGAAAUAAAAAGGGGCAAGUGCCCGGAACCUCGAAGAAAAGAAAAAGUGAGACGAGAGGUAAAAAUGGACAAGUGUCCGACAGUAGAAUUAGGGGUACAAGAUACCCACCUGAGAGGAAAGAAAAAGAAAAUAUAGAGCAUCUCAUUCUCCCCAAAAAGCUUCAAAGUGCAAGAAAGGUAUGUAUCCCCUCAAAAGAGCAAAAGUAGAAUUAGACUUUCACCAUCAUUAUCACCAUCAUCACCAUACACCAUUCAUUCACCACACUUGCACAUCUUGAUUUGACUUAUUGACUUGUUUCUCUGGAUCCAUGGUUUGACUAUGCAAUAAAUGUCUUGUAAGUAUGUAUUAGCUAUCUCCCACCUAUGAGCUCCAGAUAUCAAAACCUUAUUAGAGUAGGGUGAGAGAGAAAGCAAUAUCACUAUGCCUCAUACCACAAAUACUACAUACUUUGAGAGAAGGCAUAUACCAUUACUGUCUCGGUAAGGAUCCAAAAAUACCACAAAAGAGAGAUUUGAGAGAGUCAUAUAAGGAAUCUCUGAGUUUUAUUUAAAAAUCUACAAAAACUCCAGAGCUAUAGCUGAUCAAGGAUAAGAGACAUGGCGCUUGACUUGACCGUUCUAUCUUUUAACUGCUCAAGACACAAGUGACGGUUACAAGCCCCAUGGUGAAAGGUAAAAUGAGUAAGUUUUAAGUCUUAAUAGUUUAUUCUAACUUAGAGAUGAGAUCUUGCUUGAAUGCGUGUGUACUUUUAAGGCAUGAAACCACUGCAGAAACUCUUGAGUUCAUCUUUGCUCAGAGACGAGCAAGAGGUAAGCUUGGGGGAGUUUGUUGACAGUCCUUAAGUAUCAAAUUUAAUUAUCAAAUAAAUAAAGAAAAGGAUCCAAAUGCAACCAACAUCUAGACUUAGGGUUUUAUCUGACAGAAUUCCACGAGUUUUGGUGUUUGUCUAUUUCUGCAGGGGGUUAUCAGGAAAUAAGGAAGAAAGGCCCACAUGUCGGGAUUACAUAGAGAUAUCAAUGCACCGCGCAAUUUUCUAUCAUCUAGAAGACUCCAGAAGCCACGGGAAGAAAGCAGAGGCCGAAAGGGGCCAGGCCCAGGGCGCCCGCCCUGAGGGCCUGGGCGCCCGCCCACCUCUGGAAGCCUUUCGGGACUCUCUUCGCACACGAUGUUCCACCGACCUAUUGGAUCAAGGAAAACAUAGUACCACCUCACCUACCGACCCAAAAACGCAUAGAGAAGGAGGACUAUAUAAGGAGACCCCCCUGGCCCCUGGAGGAGACAAGAAGUUAUCAUAGAGUUGAGGGGUGCCCUCGAAGGAAAACCUCUUCUCUAAAUAAUAUUUCUUUUUAGGCUUAGCAACCAAUGUAAAGUAGAAAUAGAUCUUCUAGUUUCUACUAGAUUGAGAGAGACAGAGUGGAGGUGUGGAUCGGAGGAAGGCCGGCCUGUCGGUGUCUACUCCGAGUUGUACCUGCAGGAUCAAGUCUCCUAACCCGAGGCUUGCUUCUAAGAUUCUUCAGUAAUUCGACUUCUAAUACUAGUAAGUUCUUGUUUUAUUGUUCUUUGGUUUUACCUUUCUUAUAUUUCACAACAUAUGAAAAAGUUUCAAUGAAUUCAAACCAUUUGGCAUGUCUACGAUUCAGUUUUGCUUGCCCCUUUAAAUAUUUCAAAGCCUCAUGAUCUGAAUGAAUAACAAAUUCUUUUGGCCAUAAAUAAUAUUGCCAUGUCUCAAGAGCUCUUACCAAAGCAUACAAUUCUUUGUCAUACACCGAGUAGUUCAGUUGCGCACCUCCUAACUUCUCACUGAAGUAUGCAACCGACUGUCCAUUUUGAAUUAGGACACCACCGAUUCCGAUCCCACUUGCAUCACAUUCAACCUCAAAGGUUUUAGUGAAAUCUGGUAACACCAGCAAGGGGGCUUCGGAUAGCCUCUUCUUCAAUUCUUGGAAUGCUCUCUCUUGUGGUUCACCCCAUUGGAAGGCAACACCUUUCUUUGUUAACUCAUUCAACAGAGCAGCUAUGGUGCUGAAAUCUCUCUCAAAUCUCCUGUAAAAACCAGCAAGUCCAUGAAAACUUCUCACCUGACUCACAUUUUCAGGAGUUGGCCAAUCCUUGAUUGCUUUCACCUUUGAUUCAUCAACCUGAAUUCCUGAACCUGAAACAACAAAACCAAGAAACACAACCUGAUCUGUACAAAAUGUGCAAUUCUCAAGGUUAGCAAAUAAUUUUUCUUUUCUUAGCACAUCCAAAACUUGCUUAAUACGAUCAACAUGUCCCUCCAAUGUCUUGCUGUAAAUUAGAAUAUCAUCAAAGUAAACAACAACAAACUUUCCAAUGAAUGCUCGGAAGACAUGGUACAUCAAUCUCAUGAACGUACUAGGGGCAUUGGUCAAACCAAAAGGCAUAACUAACCAUUGUUUUCCAUUCAUCUCCAAUCUUCAUUCUAAUUUGAUGGUAACCACUUCUCAAAUCAAUUUUAGAAAACAUCAUAGAACCACUCAAUUCAUCAAGCAUAUCAUCUAGCCUAGGAAUAGGAUGACGAUAACAAACGGUGAUGUUGUUUAUGGCUCUACAAUCUACACACAUCCUCCAAGAACCAUCUUUCUUUGGCACCAAAAUCACAGGAAUAGCACAAGGACUUAAACUUUCUCGCACAUAUCCUUUAUCUAAAAGUUCUUGUACUUGCCUUUGAAUCUCCUUGGUUUCUUCCGGAUUUGUGCGGUACGCCGGACGGUUUGGAAGUGCAGCUCCAGGGAUGAGAUCAAUUUGAUGUUCAAUACUGCGCAAAGGAGGAAGUCCAGCAGGUGUUUCCUUUGGAAAAACAUCGUCAUAGUCCUGCAAAACACGUGCAACAACACUAGGGACAAAUGUUAAGUCAUUAGCUGAAAGCAAUGUGUCCUUGCACACAAGUACAAAUAGUACUUGAUUUGGGUUUUUCCUCACAUCUCUCAUUUUAGAUUUGGUGGCUAUCAUCACGAAGUUCUCUCCCUCUCUUUUUCUGUCAUCUCUCAUGUUUGGCUUGUGGCUCUCACUCACUGAUUUGUGGAGGGCACUCAAAUUAUUUUUCUCUCCUUCUUUUGCACUCUCAUUCCUCACUUCGGUGCUCUUUUGCAAGUACUCAGCUAGGAUUUGCUGCGGUGUCAUGGGUUUAAGAAUCAACUCCUUGUUCUUCCACUUGAUGGUGUAUUGAUUGGUUCUACCACAAUGUAGAGACGAUCGAUCAUAUUGCCAUGGUCUUCCCAAUAGCAUGUGGCACACUGUCAUAGGCGCCACAUCACACUCUACAGUGUCAAUAUAUUCACCAAUCUUGAAUGGAACUUUCACUCUUUGUGCAAUCUUAAUAGAACCUGAAUUAUUAAGCCAUUGCACAUGAUAUGGAUGGGGAUGUUUCAGCAGCUUCAACCCAAGCUUUUCAACCAUUUCUUUGCUUGCAAGAUUGUGGCAACUGCCACCAUCAAUGAUCACUUUGACAACCUUAUCUUGCACUUUAGCUCUAGUCUGAAAAAGAUUGUGCCGCUGUCCAUUUUCAGCAUCGCUCAUUUGUACACUCAAAAUCUGGGUUACAACAAGAGCAGCACCAGAUUCAAAUUCAUAGAUGUCCUUCUCAAGAUUACUCUCACUUCCACUAUCUUCUUGUUCUUCCUCACUAGCAGAUUCAUACUCCCCUUGAUCAUUCACAAUGAUGGUUCUAGCGUUUGGACACUCUCUUCCAACAUGACCACGACCACCACACUUGAAGCACUGAAUUCCACUGCUCUUGCUGGAAGAACCCACUGAGUUUGCUGAUUUGAAUUUCUCAUUUUGAGUAGCCAACUCUUUGCUACUAGAAGAACCAAGGUUGCUAGAUCGUGCACCACCGUUUGAGCUGGAAAAUGUACCUUUACUUCCACAUCCUUUGGUGCAAAUUUACUUCCACUUGCUGCACUCUUUGUGCUGAAAGAUACUCGUCUAGUAGACUUCAUAUCCUGCUGCAAUUGCCGCUCAGCUUUGCUAGCUUGAUGCACCAAUUCAACAAGAUUACGAUAUUGCUGAAAUUCAACAAUGCGCUGAAUAUUCUGAUGCAGCCCUGACAUAAAUCUUGAAAUUGUUUGCUCUUCAUCUUCAAUUACAUUGGCUCUAAUCAUUGCCUUCUCCAUCUCUUUAUAAUACUCAUCAACUCUGAGGCUUCCUUGCUUCAUAUUCUGUAGCUUGUCAAAUAAAUCACGGCGAUAAUGUUUGGGGACAAAUCUUGCUCUCAAUUCUCUCUUCAUUUCAGCCCAUGAACGAACAUCACCUUGACCAGCUUCUUCUCUUUCAUUCAACAUUUGCUCCCAAGAGCAGCCAUGGCAACCUUCUUUCUCUCAGAAUAUUUAUGCACACGAAAAAUUUUAUCCACCUUCAACUCCCAUGUAAGAUAUGCUUCAGGAUUAGAUCCUCCUUCAAACUGGGGCAUGGUGAAUUUUAACUUGCCAAACCUCUCUUCAUUGUGCUGAUUACGCCUACGAUUUCUUCGGUGACGACGAUCAUCAUAAUGGGGCUGUUCAUCCUCUUCUUCAGUUUCACUUUCUUCCAAUCUAAUACCUCUCCCAUGUCCAUGACCAACACCUCUACCACCAUGAUCACGUCGUGGAAAAGGCGGUCUUCUUGCAUCAGCAGCUCGCUCUCUACGCCGUUCCCUUGCACGACGAGCAGCUUCUCCUUCGCUUUCUUCAACUUCAUCUUCAUGGUGACUGCCAUUUGCAUUAUCAUGAGGAUGAAUUUGCAACCGAUUCAUGAGUGUUUGAACAUUGUUUGUUAGCGUCUCCAUGCUUUGUUUCAUCUCAUUGAAUUGUGCCAUUGUGACACAAUCAUCAAUCUCCGGAUGCUCAGACAUCUUGCUAUAAAAAAUUAGUGAAGGCAAAGCAACAAUAAAUGUAGAAUAGGGAAUUAUAUGUGGAAUCUCACAAUCUCACCUCUCUUACCAACCGAAGCUCAUGUGAGUUCCCCGUAGAUUACAACGGCCAAUGCGAGGUGGUAACCGAGAAUGAUGGUUGGGAGAAUCCAAGAUCAGUAUUUUCCUAUGACGGUGGGUUAUUUGUGGAGCUUGGUGGGGAUAUAUUUCACAAGGAAUGCAGUCUGAAUUCUUGAUAUUGUAAAGUUAAACCACAAUCCAAACUAGAAGUUCAAUGUCUAGUGCUGACCACAAGAUAUGAGUGAUGUAAAUAGAUAAAACACACGCGCAAAGAUAAUUCAGAUUUGAUGCAAACAAGAAGUAUGCCUAGGAUGCAAGUGUUGCAAUCAAACCCAAGCAAAAUUUUGCACCAAAGAUGGAUAAUGACUGAUUGUGUGACUUGAUAUAAAAUUCAGAACUUGAGCACAUAAACAGAGUGAAUUUUCUACUCUUUCUUCACAACUUUUCUUUCUCAACUCUCCUUUUUUUCACUUUCCUUUUUUUUCUUUUGAUACUUUUUUUAUAACUAAGAACAAGAGCAGAUAUAACACUUGCACACACUUUUUUUUGAAAAACAAGACACAACCGUCAGCGUUCUAACUUGAUAGGCUCAAAGUUUACGCGAAGGAUGAUACCGGUUUCAGAUUUUCUUUAGGGAUUUGUAGAUAUAAAAGAGGCACAAAGGACACACAAAGGAUAUGAUGAUCAGCAAAUAAAUAAAACUCUAAUGGACUGAAAUUUAACCAAACUCACAAGAAAAAUAGAUUGAAACAAAGGGCUAAUGCAAUUUUUUUUGGCUUUUUGGUGGAUAGGACGAACAAGAUAUAUAUAUGUAGCUAAGGGUAAAAAUCCUACCGUGGAAACUUGAGCUUUGAUACCAGAUGGUGAGGUCAUUGUCCCGAUCUUCACGACGUAGGAUAACUAGCUGAAGAUCAGCUGAUAACUUGCUGCAAGCAGCGAGGAUAACUAGUGCAACCUGACGACACGCACGAGGAGCCAACCACCGUCUCUAUACGGCAGCCUGAACCAAGGAUUCGCCCAACCACACUCUCAAAGAACCAACCUACGCAACCUAAACUCGAGGAUCAGGAGCACGGAUUGGGUGCCGAUGACGCGGCCACUUCUGUAAUCUCCGCGAAGCAAAACACAAGAGCAAAGGGGUAGAGAUCUCUCUCUAAUUUUGUUAGCACACAGCUGAACAAAGUGGUUUGCAUUCUCAAUAUCAUAAGUCUUAGAUUACAAUGGGUCUGAGGGGGUAUUUAUACUAGUAACAGCCCUGCUAGAUAGGUAUGAAAACAAAAUAGAUUUUCUGAGGGAAGGCAAUGUGAAAGGUCCCCUCGAAAUGGAUUCCCGAAGUGGCUUCGCGUGACUGUUGGCCUCCAGAGCAGUUUCUAAUACUGACCAUAACUUUUUAUUGGGAAGUCCAAAUGAUGAACCGUUUCUUGGGUGUGAAACUAGACUCAAUGGACUUUCUAGCAAUGUAUGCCAGCCAGCACGAAACAUUGUAGAUUGGUACAGUUUUACUUGGCAAGUUGUAGCAACAUUCUGUCACGACAGACUGUUGACCUUCUGAGCAGUCUGUACUAAUUCUGGUCUACAGGAAAUAUGGAGUAUCCAAACUGGUCGCCACUAGAUUCAUUGGAAAGUAGACUUGUCAAGCUUUCCAACAAGUGCUCAUGGACCUUCAUAGCUUUUGUGAGUAAAAAGGUAUGAAGAUUCUUUGCACUGGUCUGUUUUUGACUUCUUCUGGAACUUGCACUGGUCCGUUCUUCAUGGUCCGAUUCUUCCUUCUCUUCUUCUAUAUACCUGAGUACAAUCAAGGUACAACACUUAGGUAGUAUAUAAUUCUCAUUAAUGUUAAAAUGAAUCUCACAAAGUAGCACGUUCACCUCUUGUUGUAGCUUCUUGGCUCGGCUACGUGUAAUUGCUCUAUCAAUGGCUUGGGCUGGUGCCGGCGUAGUCGUUGUAGAGGUUGGCGUGGAAUUAGAGGGAGCAUGCUUGGUUGGAAUGUCCUCAUCAAAAUUUACCUUGCCGAUCAAAGACUGGAGUUCAGUUUUAUUGGUAAGAGCAACUAUCUUAUUGAUGGCAUCAAUAGAUCUCCUACUAAUUUCAAUUCCUCUUAUGCACCAUGAAACCAAGAAAUUGCCCUGCCGAUACACCAAAUGCACAUUUAUUAUGAUUCAUCUUUAGACCAUGUUUCCUUGUGCAUUCCAACACCUUUCGCAAAUCGGCAAGAUGCUUUGUGAAAUCCCUAGACUUAACCACCACAUCAUCAAUGUAAAUUUCUACCAGCUUGCCGAUGAACUCAUGAAAGAUAAAAUUCAUAGCCCUUUGAUAGGUAGCACCAGCAUUUUUCAAGCCUGAGGUCAUGACUCCCGACGAUAAUCCUCCUGUCGGCGCCGAUACCGAUCUUCACGUUGCUGCCAGGUAUCCCGAUGCCUUCUAUGAGUAAUUAUAAUACUAGAUCGGGGAGGCCUUCCUGAGCUGGUUCCUUCCUGAACCAGACCCUUGCCUUUUAUGUCAUCGGUUGUAAUUUGAUGUUGAGGAUCCACUGAUGCGUUUCUCUCAGCUGCCUCUGACGUCAAGACCUUGGUCUUCCCCUUGGCAUCCAACAUAUUUGUAGGGAACGGAUGCUGAUCGAUCUUCAUCGGCUUCUGAGCUUUAGAAUUAUCAAACUUGAUUCUCCCAGAUUCUAUAGCCGAUUGCAGCUGUUGCCUGAAAACCUUGCACUCAUUUGUGCUGUGAGACGUUGCAUUGUGCCAUUUGCAAUAUUUCAUCUUCUUUAAUUCCUCAACCGAUGGAAUCACAUGAUUAGGUGACAAUUUGAUUUGACCUUCCUGAAGUAGGAAAUCAAAUAUCCUAUCGGCUUUGGUGGUAUCAAAUGCAAACUUUUCUGGUUCUUUAUGCCCAAAAGGGCAAGACAUCGGCUUCUUAUUUUUUACUCACUCUGCCAAACUGAUGACUGGCUCUUCAUCAGAGUCUAAGCUUGCUGCCUCAUCGACAAAUGACACCCUUUUAUUCCAUGCUCUCUUGGGCUCAAAAGGUUUGAUAUCUUGGUCAGAAAUCCUCCACACCAGAUGACUUAGACUCUCGAACUCUUGAGAAGCAUACUUGUCUCUGAUAUGAGGCAAUAAUCCUUGGAAAGCUAAAUCGGCUAGCUGCCAAUCAUCCAGAACCAGACUAUUGCACUUAUUCUUAACCUCCCGCAACCUCUGCACAAAGCUUUCAACCGAUUCAUCAUUGCGUUGCUUCAACCUGACUAAAUCGGUAAUCUUCUUCUCAUGGACUCCAGAAAAGAAGUAUUUGUGGAAUUGUUUCUCUAGAUCGGCCCAAGUGAUUACUGAAUUAGGGGGGUAAUGAAAUAAACCAAGUAAAGGCCGAUCCAGACAAAGAUGAUGAGAACAAGCGAACCCUUAACUCAUCUCUAUUAGCAGCUUCUCCACACUGGAUGAUGAACCUAUUGACAUGCUCCAUAGUUGAUGUAUCAUCCUGUCUAGAAAACUUAGUGAAAUCCGGUACCUUGUACCGAUUUGGAAGUGGAAUUAAGUCAUAUGCAGGAGGAUACGGUGUCCGAUAAGAGUAAGUGUUGACUUUGGGUUUUAUCCCAAAUUGGUCUCUCAUUACUUCAGCUAUCUUAUCGGCCCAAUAUGCAUCGGCAUCCUGCCGAUGAGGCGGUUGUGGAUCUGGCAUGUGCUGAGAAGCUUCCACGUGUCUCUGAGGUGUACGAUCUGCAUGGAACAUUGGAUUAACCAUCUGGCCACCAAUUUGCUGACCAAGAUUCAUCGGCUGGUUGGCCAACCCUUGAUUCUGAAACCUAGGUUGGACUGGUCCUUGUUGAAACCCUACAACCUGAUGAUUCUGCUGAGGCAUCUGUGGAAAGACAAACUGCCCUGUCCAUCCACCAUUAACAUUCAUCGGCGUAGGUCCUGCCGAUGACUGGUAAUUGGGCAUCAUCAUUGAGUUAACAUACCCUGGCUGUGUCAUAAACCUCUGCUGCGUCGGCAUUGGAUCUGCCGAUGCAUUAGGCAUCUGGAACGUUGGAGCUUGCGAAUUCCUAGUGUAAGGUCUUGCAAUAGUAGUUGUAGUGUACUAGGGAUUCUGAUUCAUCGGCGGAUUUGGGGGUGCCGAUGCCAUAGGAGCCUUGCCUGCCACGUCAGCCACUUGAGAUGUUCCAGGACUUUUUGCCAUCAAUUCUAGGGCAUACCAUAACCCCACCAGUUGGGAGGAACAGUCCCCGACAUUGCUGAUGCCAAUAGAUCUGUGGCAAGCUUGAUUUGCCCGUUUGAUGUUGAUGGAUUGGUUGUCAUUGGUGUAGACUGCGCAUUAGUGAUCCCUAAUGUGCUUGGAGGAGAAGUAGCUUCUGUACCCGCAACGGCUGUAGUAGCCGAUGGAGCCAUGACCAAUGAUGACCCUGGCUGAUGAUAGGCAGGGCCCGCAUAAGUUGGUGGUACUUGUCCUUCUUUGAAAGUUCUAGCCACAGCAUUGAAAACCAUGUUGGACAACACACCAGCUUGAUUGAUCAAGGCACGGUUAAUAGCACUGUCAACCAUGUCUUGAAGUUUACUAGGAUUGGCUUCAAAAGUAAUUUGCCGAGGCAUCAGCAAUGCUUCCUUCUAGAUUACCUCGCCACUCCUGUUGAUACUGAAGGAUUUCGAGCAUAGUUGCUUGUAGUCCUCCAUGGCUUUUGCCAUAGCUUGCUUCAGCUCAUCUCUGAGAUUGGCUUCCGUCACGGGGAUAACAUUCUCCAAAUCAAAAUCGGUGUUCGACAUGUUGAUCUUGAUCUUGAAUCUCUGUCCCACUGGGCGUGCCAAAAGAUGUGUUGGUGCAAAAGCUGAUCUAGAAACACAAAGGGCUAAUACUCGAUUCAAACGUUAAGGCGUGCCAGCCGAUUUGACCUUACAAUCGACAAAGGUGGUAACUCGAACACUUUGGUCCUGACAACAGCGAUGCGCCCGGAUGUCACGGCCAAGAGGUGCUCACGUGGAACUUGGGAACAUGUCGAGUUCGACUCGACGAAUUCCUAAGAACUUGUAGUAAAAAGAAAAUAUGACGAAGUCGUCGAAAAAGUAGAUGCUGGAAUAUGAGUAAAAACUUGUGUUUAAUUGAUUAAUAGAUUAUUUCAUUACAUUGCCCUAGGGUCUACAUUUAUACCCUGUCCAAAGAGCUACAACCAGACACGACUAGGACUCAAGAGAAGUACACUCAAGAUCUUCUCAAGAGAUUCAAGAUGCUAGAUUACAAGCCAAUCAAGACUCCCAUGGCAUCAACUGGGCAUCUCGACUUUGAUGAGGGAGGUAACCCGGUUGACAAAACUCUCUAUCGCUCUAUGAUAGGAAGUUUACUUUACCUCACCGCAUCUAGGCCCUUUAUCAUGUUUAGUGUGUGUAUGUGUGCUUGAUAUCAAGCAAUGCCUAUGGAAUCUCACUUGGUUGCCAUCAAGAGAAUUCUUAGGUAUCUAAAAUACACACCCUAUCUAGGCUUGUGGUAUCCCAAAGGUGCAAGAUUCCAACUUGUAGGCUAUUCCGAUUCGGACUAUGUCGGUGCCGCAUUGAUAGAAAAAGCACAUCCAGAGGGUGCCACUUCCUAGGUAGAUCACUUGUCUCUUGGAUGUUCACGAAACAAAAUAGUAUUGCUUUGUCAAUGGCCGAGGCAGAAUACAUAGCCGCCAGUGCUUGUUGUGCACAAAUACUUUACAUGAAACAAACUUUGCUAGACUGAGUAGUUCUAGAUAAAGUACCUUUGUUGUGUGAUAAUGAAAGUGUCGUAAAUCUUGCUAAUAAUCCAGUACAACACACCCGCACUAAGCACAUUGACAUCCGUCAUCACUUCCUUAGAGAUCAUGUUGCCAAAGGUGACAUAUCACUAUAUAAUGUGGGGACGGAAAAUCAAUUAGCGUAUAUCUUCACAAAACCGCAAGAUGAAGCUAGGUUUUGUAUGUUGAGAAAUGAACUAAAUGUGCUUGAUCUCUCUAACUUCACUAAAAAAUGAGGUUGUGUGUUGUUCUUGUACAUAGCUUUUUUGUUUUUUUGUAUCAUGCAUAUCAAAAUUAAAAAUCCAAAAAGAUUGUGUGUAGGGCUUGUGUAACAUGGUUAAGAUAACCGCCCUUAGAGCAUGUGAAAAAGCUUAAUCUUGGAUCAAACUUGACAAGCAUUACUUUACUUCCAAGAAUUGCAUUGCAUACCAUAUGCAUGUGUGUUGCUUGGUCGUUUCUUUUCGGUUAAGCUUUGAGCAUCCGCUGUGUUCAUCCAUUGGUAGGGGGAGCAUUCAAAGCUCAUCAUGAUUAUGACCCCUAGCUAAUGGCCACAAGAUGUCUUCUCGGUGCUUUCUCUUGCCUGUUUUCAUAAAAACUACUUAGCCUAAGGUAAAUUAUUUGUGAAAAUUUGAGGGUUUGACAGAGGUCAAGCAUACCAGUUCCGAUUGGUGUUUAUUUGAGUCUUCUUUAACUUGGAACUUGGUUGGGUGAAGGUAACACGAAGCCUCGUUGAAUAUUCAAGAGUGUUGGAGGCACCGGACUCUGCAGCGGACGCUGCACCGGACGCUCCCUGUGCGUCUGGUGUACUGUUUCUGCUGUAGUGCACGUACCAGACUUGCGCAUAGUGUCCUUAGCGUAUCUGGUGUGGUGCGUCUGGUGUUUACUUUGUCGCACUACCCGUAGCACCGGACGCUUGGUGAGCGUCCAGUGGCCUGCAUGCGGUGGUCCUGCAAGUUUUGAGAUCUCUCUACGUAGGGGUCAGGUGAGCACCGAACGCAUCUGGUGCCCACUUGAAUGCGUCCGGUGUGACUGGUAUAAGUCCAGACCCCGGUUGUUUGAUCUUAUUCUUUGUUUCUCAUCUCGCCGAGUCAGGAAGCAGUCAAGCCGCCGACAUCCACCCGCCGGGCCCUAGCUCUCUAGCACCGCCGAGGUUUUGGCUUGCCCUCGCGUGAAAUAUCUUCCCCUACGCCGUACUUCUUCUCCUUCCUCACCGGCACCGUCCGGGACCCUCACGUGAUUUUAGGGUUUGGGGUGAGAAUUCUAAAUGUUGCACGCAAGGUGUUCGGUAAUUUGCCUGAACCAUUCGGAACACCAUUUUUUAUGACAUUCUCAUUUCUUUCAUCCUUGCAGGGCCUUGUCGUGCGUCUCCUUUCGUCCCGUGUUCAUUGGAUCUCAUGUUUUCAUUGGGAACGCCUCUCACCUAAGGUAGCAAGCCGUUUUUCAUCUAGUUUCUUAUCUAAUGCUUGCUAGAUAUUAUGUUUGCUUAUGUAUACCCUAUCUAUUCCAUCCAUUGCAGCGGGUGAGUCACAUUUGGUAGUUUGACAGUGUCAGUGGAACUCAGGGCCAAGCCCACGAGUAUGAAUUGAGGCUAAGCCUCACGACUGUCAGUUCACCAUCUUUCUGAGCAGCUUGAUAGUGUCCAAUUGAGUUUUUGCAGUGGCACGUUGCAAGAACAUCGGUGGUGCCCCUAUAGGUGCUCCAGGAGGGGGCUGUAGGAGGUGAUGGGCGUGGUGAUAGACCUCGUCGCUUCAUAGCAGCUGAGAAGGGAAAGAAGGUAGUUAGCAAGAAGCACAAGAUCACUAAGGCUGAGGUAGCCAGAGCAGUGGCAGCAGUGCCAUAAAUAACUACUCUAUUCUAUAAUUCAAACAUCAUUCAAGUUCUCUUUCUAGCAAGCACCAACCAAACAAGAGUGGUGAAUUUAAACUUGCAAUGCAACACUUCAUUAUGUUAGUGCACAUUCAAUAUGCAACAAAUGGUUCAUGAGGUUGCUCCCCCUAUUUGUGUGCACAAGUUUUAAAUUAUCCCUUUCUAUUUUCAAAAGUUUUCUCUCCCUCUUAAGCACUUUUCUCCGCCUUUAUGACUUAUCUUUGUUUUCUCUUCCCCUUUGUCAUCAAUGACCACAAAGGUUCAAAUUUUAAUGAGAAUUAAGUCAAUCAAUGUGAGGGUCAAAUUAUGGUUCAAUCUAGAUUACUUUCCUAAAGCAUGUAAUUUGGUUUGAUCCAAGGAUAAGCUUUUUCACACCUCAUGAAGUAUAAGGGUUAUCUUGACCAUGUUGAGUUACACAUCAUAAGCUCAUAUUCUAGAUUCAACACUAGGCUUGCAAGCACACAAACAUGUCAUAUGCUACCACUAGAUCAAACAAUCAUAAAAGCAAUAGUGGUACCAUACAUACAUCAAAUCCUUUUAAUUUUCAUGUAUGAGCCUAUUGUCAUGCAAGCAUGUCUACAUGUUCUUAGCAAAGUAUGAAUGCUAUGUCAACCAACUUUACCUUGCUAUGUUGGAGGAGAAGCAUGUCAUAUAUAAAUGUAGGGGUGCACUCAUCUCAAGUUGGAGAAGUCAAGUAUGUUCCAUUCAUUUGUCAACUUGCAAAAUCUUUUCUCAUCAAGUGGCUUUGUGACGAUGUCGGCUAGUUGAUCUUCGGUGCCAAUGCUUUCAGUGCUAAUAUCACCCUUUUCUUGAUGGUCCCUUAUGAAAUGGUGCCUUAUGUCAAUGUGCUUGGUUCUUGAAUGUUGAACCGGAUUUUGUGUCAUCUUGGUUGCACUGUCAUUGUCACAUAGCAAAGGCACAUUCUUGAAUUUGAUUCCAAAGUCAUUCAAGGUAGCUUUCAUCCAAAGCAAUUGUGCACAACAACUACCAACACUAAUGUAUUCGGCCUCGGUGGUUGAUAGUGCAACACUAUUUUGUUUCAUGGAUGACCAUGAAACUAGUGACCUUCAUAGGAACUAACAAGUGCCACUUGUGCUCAUUCUAUCAAUUUUGCAUCCACCAUAAUCGGAGUUCGAAUAUCCAAUCAACUCAAAGUUAGACCUCAUGGGAUACCAUAAUCCAACAUCAUGAGUGCCCUUGAGAUACCUCAAUAUUCUUUUAGUUGCCUUCAAGUGACUCUCUCUAGGUGAAGCUUGGUAUCUUGCACAUUUGCACACACUAAACAUCACAUCCGGCCUUGAUACGGUGACAUAGAGCAAACUUCCAAUCAUGGACCGAUAUAGCUUUUGAUCUACCAUGUUACCACUUGCAUCACUACCUAAUUGAUCAUUUGUGCCCAUAGGUGUGCUCAUUGGUUUAGCCUCUUGCAACCCAAACUUCUUGAUCAUGUCCUUGAUGUACUUUCCUUGACUCACAAAAGUGCCAUCGUUCAUUUGCUUGAUUUAAAGUCCAAGGAAGUAACUAAGCUCUCCUAUCAUGGACAUCUCAAACUUAUUUGCCAUCAUUCUUCCAUAAUCUUCACAAAAGUCUUGAUUGGUUGAUCCAAAGAUGAUAUCAUCAACAUAGAUUUACAACACAAACAAGUCAUUGCCUAGUUUCUUGGUGAAGAUACUAGUGUCAACCUUUCCCAUCUUGAACCCUUUAGAGAGAAGGAAAUCUCUCAAUCUCUCAUACCAUGCUCUAGGUGCUUGCUUCAAACCAUAAAAUGCUUUCUUGAGCUUGUACACAUGGUUGGGUUCCUUGUCAUCUUUAAAACCGGGAUGUUGUUCAACACAAACCAACUCAUUGAUGUAUCCAUUGAGAAAUACGCUCUUCACAUCCAUUUGAUAGAGCUUGAUGUUGUGGGCACAAGCAUAGGCUAAUAAUAUUCUAGUUGCCUCUAAUCUUGCAACCGGUGCAUAUGUUUUUCCAAAGUCAAGACCUUCAACUUGAAUGUAGCCUUGUGCUACUAAUCUUGCUUUGUUUCUCAUAACUAUACCAUCUUGAUCUUGCUUGUUUCUAAAGACCCACUUGGUACCUGUUGGGCAUUCUUGAUGUCUUUACCAAAAGUAGAAUUAGUUUUCUAUUUCUGAUAACGGCGCCAAAAAUGCCAAACCUAUUGUUGAUGGUAUUUUCACUAUGAUUUUCAACCACUAAAACCAUCAGCAAUGGUUAAGUUUUGGGGAUAACACCAAGCAACUAAGUAGUGACAUAGAUACAAUUCACUUGGUUCCUCAUGUACAUGUCAUUAUUUGGAUGCAGGUGCAAACAGCCACUAAUCAAGCCUGAUCAAGCUCAAAUGAAGCAAAGAUGAUCAAGAACCAAAACCACCACAGAUCAACAAAAGAUUGAAGAUGACGAGUGGGGAAAAUAUGUGGAGCAAGGUGGUGGGCCAACCCCCCCAAGGGUAGGUCGGCCGACCCACCUUUGGUGGGGUCCCACCUGGCCUACACUCCCACCGACCUCAGCACCUUCUAGAAGCUUGGUAGGGCCCAUAUGGAAGCAAUAGGUCGGUCGGCCGACCCUGAGAUGUGGGCCCCCAUGGUCGGUUUGCCUCCACCAACCUUCCACAUGCCAAACAUGUGUGAAAAUACCUCCACCCUUGAUCUAUGGUGGUGGGAAGGUCGGUUUGAUCCAACGGUGGAGAAGAGGGAGCACACAGAUCGCUGAUGUGGCGCUGGAGUAGCCCCUACUCCAUCUCUCCCCUAUAAAUACCCCCUUAGAGAGCCUAGUUAAGCAUGAUGUAUCAUAGGAAGAGCUACUCUUAGCUGUGUGAGAAGAGAGGGAAGAGAGUGAGGAGUUCCCUGAGGAGGUGUCCCGGCUUGUUGGGAGUCUUCUUCUAGGAGUGCCUCAGUGGAUGCUUGUCUUCUAGUAAGUGUUCCUUCUAGUUGCCAUUCAUCUGUGUACUUCCAGUAUUUAUUUUUUGUCUUAGUUUAUUUUAGGUAUACAACCUGCCUACUGGCACAUUGCUUUGCCUUGUGUGAAGUGCUCAAAACCUUAGCUGGGUCUAGAGUAGUAGAAUUAGUGUAUACGUGGUGUUUAGACUAAGACUGCUCUUGUGGACUUCUAGUCACACUUGAAGAACGCCAGCAGCGAAGCGUAAUGCCUCUGCUGGACAUUAGGAGUUCUCUUCAGUGUGUUUUUAGGCAAGUUGCAAAUAAUAGUUGGCCUACAAGGUAGCUGCCUAGGGAAGUGUUUUGCCACACCCUUUUCACCUAUCGGCCACAGUAGGAAGGGAGUUAACUCUCAGUAUACUUAGGAUAGCUUAGCGAGAAGCCAAAUACUAGAAAUACCUCUUCACCCAAUCCUAAGGCCUUUGAUCAUCAUCGACGACUCAAUUGGUCUAGUUAAUCCACUUCUCAUUCCCCGUGGAAAAUACGAUACUUGGAGUACUCCUAGUGAAGUGCUGCAUUGACCACCGUCCACUUGUGGUAAAACCAUUUGCCACUUCUGGUGUCACACAAGCAUUUCUAGUGUUGUGCAAAGGACUGACAAUCCUAGGUAGUGACGCUAAGAAGAGUCAACAAGCAUUUCUAGCGCCGUUGCCGGGGAACAGUAGCUGGAUAACUAGACUCAAAGUCAUGUUAUCCUUGUUUGAUUAGAACCCUUACCUAUCCCAUGGAUCAAACAACCCUCUUUGACUACACUGCUCCAUCGGGCGUUGAGCUGGAGCCGCCUAGUUCUUCUCAGGCCAUUUUGGCCGUUCGUUAUGAGCUUUGCCCAAGUCUCAAAGCGAUGGUUUAGGAGAAUCCCUUUUUAGGAGAAGGAGAUGAAAAUCCCUGUACCCACCUACGUCAUUUCAAGCAGCUUUGCUCGUGCAUUCACAUCCAAGGGAUGAGCCGAGUUACCCUUAAGUGGAAGCUCUUCCCGUUCUCUUUAACGAGAAAAGCUAGACGGUGGUACUCUCGCUAUGUAGGUAGUGUAGAUGGAGAAAGGGAGAAGCUGCAAGCCAAGUUUUGCCUUACCUACUUCCCCAUUUCCGGUGUGGCUCGUUGUUGACGGUCCUUAAGUAUCAAAUUUAAUUAUCAAAUAAACGAAGAAAAGGAUCCAAAUGAAAUCAACAUCUAGACUUAGGGUUUUAUCUGACAGAAUUCCACGAGUUUUGGUGUUUGUCUAUUUCUGCAGGGGCUUAUCAGAAAAUACGGAAGAAAGGCCCACAUGUCAGGAUUACAUAGAGAUAUCAACGCACCGCGCAAUUUUCUACCAUCUAGAAGACUCCAGAAGCCACGGGAAGGAAGCGGAGCCCGAAAGGGGCCAGGCCCAGGGCGCCCGCCCCCUGUUGGAUGCAGUUCAGGACUCUCUUCGCUCGGGAUGUUCCACCGACCUAUUGGAUCAAGGUAAACAUAGUACCACCUCGCCUACCGACCCAAAAAUGCAUAGAAGGGAAGGACUAUAUAAGGAGACCCCCCUGGCCCCUGGAGAAGACAUGAAGAAAUUAUCAUAGAGAUUGAGGGGUGCCCUCGAAGGAAAACCUCUUCUCUAAUUGAUAUUUCUUUUUAGGCUUAGCAACCAAUGUAAGGUAGAAAUAGAUCUUCUAGUUUCUACUAGAUUGAGAGAGAUAGAGUGGAGGUGUAGAUUGGAGGAAGCCCGGCCUGUCGGUGUCUACUCCAAGCUUGUACCUACGGGAUCAAGUUCUCCUAACCCGAAGCUUGCUCCUAGGAUUCUUUAGUAUUUCGACUUCUAAAUUCUAGUAAGUUCUUGUUUUAUUGUUCUUAUGGUUUAUGAGUUUACUUUAAUCUCUUCGCGUAGAGUUUAGAGUAAUCAUUGCUGGCGUAAACGUGGUGUUUAGGCUGGGGUACUCAUAGAUAUUCCCUGACUAGCUGGACCGUGGUAGUAGUGAGGAACGUGACAAUUCCGAGUUACCUUUGCAGAUCACAUCUCGUUAGCAGGAAGGAUAGGGUUUAUAGGUGCGGGUUGAACAUCCUUUGUGGUGUCUAGAUUCCGUUAGCCUCCCCAUUAGAAUAGUAGAUCAUCCUUACCAAGGUUAGAAGGAGACUACGGUUGCAGUCUUCUCUAUUUAUCACUCACAUCGAAAGACAUUCUUUGUGCCUAAAGGGAUAGUAGCAAUAGAUUUGGUUAGUCAGAUGCACCCUUUCUCCCAGUGGUAAAAAUAUAAAUACGAUACUCUGGAAAACCUCCCGGGUGAAAUGCUCACCGAUAUCCGUACGCUAGCGGAUCAUUUUCUUAUUGCGUUACCAAAUAUCAACACUCGUCUCCGUAGAGAGAUCCUAAACUUCAAGCAAUAAGAGAAGGAAUCUCUAGGUGCAGCUUGGGCACGAAUCAUAGACUUAGCGUCCUUAGGCCCAGACUUAGCUAUAGCCGAGCCAACGCUAAUGUAGCAUUUCUAUCUCGGUCUUAGGCAAAGUUCCGCACAAUUUCUUGAUCUAGCCUCGAAGGGCGCAUUCCUUCAUUUACCCAUUAGUGAAGGUAGGGUGGUCCUAGCAACCAUACUAGACAACACCUCCUACACUGAUGACCAUAGUGAUGCCCCUGAGGAAGACCAAGCCCCUAGGCAUGAAACCUCGUCAGCUGAUGCUACAAUAGCCACAUCACAAGCUGUCGAGCCUGAACCACAAUCCCAAACACCUCCAAGGGAAGAAGUGAUUCAUCCCUUGGAGUAUCCUCUUAACAUCGAGACAGAUCUUUUUGCCGAUUAUGGCAACGCCUCAAAAGAACCUAUGCAAAAGAGAAACCACAACACUCCAAAAGAGCAAGUAUCUUCUCGCUUAGAGGCUUGUUACCUCAAAGCAACUGCUCAGGAGCUCAUGACCGUUAUGAGCAGAGAAUGGCUUAAGGAGUCAGAAGCGUUGUCUGAUGUUAUCAGGCUUCUCUCCUGUUUCACAACCAUUCGUUGUCUCAUAAGCAGGACUCCUGUGGAUUCUCUUUAUGACCCCGCCAUAGGAGCAUCUGUAAUGUCUAAGAAUUUAGCAUUAACACUCCUAGGAGAGGAACCGUUAGUUUUGACUAAAAAGUUUCUCAAGUUACCAUCUGGAGAAUUGGUCGAGAGCUAUGGCCUUGCAGAGAACGUGUUUGUUGUCAUUAACAAGGUCCAUGUCUUCUAGAAUUUCUACAUCUUUGAUGUAGAGGACAUCGACCUGUUAAUUGGGCACCUGCUUAUGAGAUUCGUUGACGGAUUUCAUGGCGGGCACCUCAAGGGUCAGACAGGGAAGAACAUAAACCUGUCCAUUCCCUAUGUCGGCUCGAUUAAUGCCAAAAUCGAGCCAAACCCUGAAACUAAUCCGAUAGAGGAGGUGAUGGCUGUUGACGGUCCUUAAGUAUCAAAUUUAAUUAUCAAAUAAACAAAGAAAAGGAUCCAAAUGAAAUCAACAUCUAGACUUAGGGUUUUAUCUGAUAGAAUUCCACGAGUUUUGGUGUUUCUCUAUUUCUGCAGGGGGUUAUCACGAAAUACGGAAGAAAGGCCCACACGUCAGGAUUACAUAGAUAUAUUAACGUGCAGUGCAAUUAUCUUACAUCUAGAAGACUCCAGAAGCCACGAGACCGAAGCGGAGGCGAAACGGGGCCAGAGGCAGGGCGCCCGCCCCCUCUGGGAGUCCAAUCAGGACUCUACUUCGUGGGAGAUCUCCACCGACCUAAAGGAUGAAUCUAAACCAUACAAUCUAUGUCGGUUUGAUCCAACGGCCCAUAUUCACUUGAAGGGACUAUAAAACCAGACCCCCCGGCCCCUGGAGGAGAGAGCCUCUCAACCCUAAUUCAUUGUUCUUCAGCGGAGAAGAAGCCCCUGAUCAAGAUUAGAGCCACCACAUCAAUUAGACAUCUAGAUUAGCAUAGCUACAUAGGAUUAGAACUAGAAGGAGUCAAUCUUCGAUUGGUUUCCGGAUCUGUCAGGAGGAUUCUUGGUAAUUCUCUAAUUGUGCUUCUAAUUGCUUUCUAAUCAUCUUUGUUCUUCAAUAUUAUGAAUAUGACUUUGUUCUACUUCAAUAUAUUGCUUAUGACUUUGCUCUACUUGCUUAUAUUCAAGAUUAUAUUGUUCUUGGUUUAUCAUAGUUAUGUACUUGGCUUAGUUAGAUUGGAUCUAUAUACAUGCUUAGGAUCGUAUAGCGUUUAUCCAUCGGAUCCAUGGGUAAAUGAUAGAUAUUGUGUAGGCGUGGUGCUUAUACCGUAUUUAUCUGCGAUUGUACCCAAUAUGCCAGAUCGUGGGGUGGUUCGUGAUAGUGACAGCUUCAUUGAUUCUUAUAUAGUCCCCCUCUCGUGUAUUGGGCUGGCAGAGCAACAUUAUUAAGGGGAGUGAUUGCUAUGUUUCUCAUAUUCCUUGCUAAUAUCACUAUGCAUGGGAAUAGUCUUGUCUCACAAUGAUUGCUAAGUAUGCUUGCACUAACUAUGAUAUGCUAGACUAUAUAGUUGAGAAUAACUUAGGGAAUAUUCUUGUAGUUCAUUCUAAUACCAUGCUAAUGACUUUCUAGAAUAUCUAAUUGAGGUGCUUAUCAUAUUUAUUAUGUGGCUAGAUCAGAUUAGUUAUCCUUGUCACUAUUAUUAUUUCAUAUAUCUUUUAUGUGACACUUAUCCCUGUAUGAAGAGUUAGAUAUAAUGUUCUCAAUUAUACAUGAAAUGAUAGAUGCUCAAUCUCAUAUUCUAUUCUGUAAUCAAUAUUGAUGAUUGCUAAUCCAUUCCCAGUGGUAAAAAUAUAAAUAACGAUACCUGGAAUACUUCCCGGUUAAAAUGCUACAUCGGUAUUAAUCUGUGCGCUUGCAGAUCCCAUUCAUUAUUUAUUUAGAAGAGCAAUUGCAUAUUUCAAUACCGCGUCUCUUAUAUCAUGCUGGGGAUGACAACUUGGCUUAAGUGGUGUGAGGGAUAGGUUUGGCAUUUUUGGCACCGUUACUAGAUUUAGAAAACUUAGUCUACUUUUGGUAAUGAUGUUAAGAAUACCCAACAAGCAUUUUUGGCGCCGUUGCUGGGGAAGGUUGAUUACUAAUCAGGAAUGGAAUAAAGGAUUUUGAGUUAUCAUUCACAUCACUAAUAUGAUUGAGCUUAUCUAUUCUCUCAUACAGUUUUACCCCGAUAUUUUUCUAUUUUAUCUUAUGCAGGGGAAUGUAUGAAUAGAAGACAUCUUCCAAGAAAUUUUGUUGACAAUCCCGAAGCAUUAUUCAAGAAGACGAGAGCCAAGCUCAAGAAGAGAUCAUCAACACUUCAGCAAGAAGCUUCAUCUAAUCAAGAAGAUCACCGGAACUUGUCUUCAGAGUUCGAAGCCAUGGCGAACAAAUCAAUCCGCGAGUUCUCAGCUCCCACUACGGACAACAUCCGCACUGGACCUGCUGCAGAGAUCGAUGGCAACUUUGAGCUCAAGCCUGGACUUAUCAACUUGGUGCAAUCCAACCAGUUCUGUGGGAAGGCACACGAAGAUGCUAGUGCUCAUUUACAACACUUCCUGGAGAUUUGCAACACAUUCACCAUAUCAGGAGUUUCCAAAGAUGCUAUACUACUUCGCCUCUUCCCAUUCUCACUGUUAGGAAGAGCGAAGCAGUGGUUCUACGCUACAAAGGAGAAGAAUACUACAUGGGCACUCUGCUCAACAAACUUCCUGGCUAAGUUCUUUCCCAUGGGCAAGACCAAUGCUCUCCGUGGGAAGAUUACAAGUUUUCAGCAACAAAAUGAUGAAUCUGUUUCAGAAGCAUGGAAGCGCUUUCAAGACUACAUCCUAGAAUGUCCCCAUCAUAGAAUGGAGAGUUGGCUAUUGAUGCAGAUGUUUUAUCAUGGGCUCGGCAACAAUGCCCGAGAGACCAUGGAUGUUGCAGCUGGAGGAGCAUUCUUAUCACUUACUAUACCACAAGCCACAGCUCUUGUGGAGAAGAUGGCUUCCAAUCAAAGUUGGAAUGAAGAGAGGACCCAGACACGCAAGAGAGGUGGAGGUAUGCAUCAGCUGAAGGAGGUAGACAUGUUGUCUGCAAAGCUAGACCUGCUCAUGAAGAAGCUCGAUGAUAAAGCUGGAGAUAAGAAAGAAGUUAUGCACAUCUACGUCUCUCACAUGACUUGUGAGGAGUGUGGAGACACUGGACACUCAGGCAAUCACUGCCCUGAGAUACUUGAGGAUGUGAACUACAUCAACAACAACAACAACAACUACUACAACCGUCCUCAACAAAAUCAAGGUUGGAAUCAACAGAGGCCUAACUACUCAGGUAAUUAUCAAGGUAACAGUUCUUACAACAAUAAUAAUAAUUUUCCACCUCUGAGAGAGUUAGUGUCUAAUCAAGGAAAGCUAAUGGAUAACCUAUCUAAGAACUUGGCAUCUAAUGAUAAAAUGCUAGAAAAUAUAAAUAAUAGAAUGGAUAAUUUCUCUACUGCCAUCAAGAAUCAAAUUAGCUUUAAUAAAAUGAUUGAAUCUCAGUUAAAUCAAAUAGCUGCUGCUGUUCCUGCUACUAACCCCGGUAUACCAUCACAACCGGAAGGAUUAGAAUCUGCAAAUCUUGAAGACAUGUUUGAUGCAGGUAAUAAUUGGAGUAACCCCGUCACUAAAUUCUCUACUGACCUUCUGCCGGUCAAGAGAGGCGAUCCAGGACACUCCGUCAUCCCGAUCUCCAUCGGCAUGGUGGACGUCCCAGAAGCACUCUGUGACUUUGUCUCUAGCGUCAACAUUAUACCCAGGGUACUCUAUGAGAAAUUCUUUACAUAUCCUUUAUUAGAGACAACCAUGUGUUUGCAGUUUGCAGAUCAGACGAUAACUUUUCCAAAAGGAAUUUUGAAGAACCUUUGUGUCCGAGUUGGUACCUUAUAUGCUCUAGCAGACUUCGUAGUAGUAGAGACCGGAAAUGAUGAGAGGGCACCCAUCAUCUUAGGGAGGCCAUUCUAAAACACCACGGGAGCUAUCAUCUACGCUAGUGCUGCCAAGAUCAGUUUCUAUGUCACAGGGAGGAAGGAGACAUUUUUCUUCAAGAACAAGACUACACAAAUUCCAGAUCAAUCCAGACAUGAGUCAAGGAAGAGGACCAACAGGAGGAACAGGAACAAGCAAGUGUGGACCGAGUCAGCUAAGAUGGUCACUGCAAUUCAUGGAGGCCAAGAUCACCACCUUAAGUCACCGCUUUUGACCAAGGAGGACGACCCAGGAAUGCCAAGCAUCUACUGCUCCAUAAAUGGAUACAACUUCUACAAGACGACUUGCGACACCGGAUCGGGCGUCAACAUAAUGGCCGCAGUCACCUAUCGGCUCUUGUUCGGAACCAUGCCACUAAGACCAACAUACAUUCAGCUCCAGAUGGCAGAUCAGACAUUUCGAGAAGUUAAAGGAAUAGUAACUGAUGUCCCAGUCAAAAUAGACGAUCACUUUGUCUACACAGACUUUCAAGUUAUUGACAUGGGAGAAGAUGAGUAUGAUCCACCCAUCAUCCUUGGAAGACCGUUCCUCAGCACCGUUAAAGCAAUUAUCUACAUUGGAACUGGAGAAGUCCAUAUGCACUUUCCCUCAGAGAAGGUACGCCGUUAUUUUACUGAACCUAACUAUAUCAUUGAAGAAUCUAAGUAGGUAAGAAAGCGACGCAACCGCAACUAGAGGAGGCAAAUCAUCAAGGACGGAUGGGCAGACUAUGAAGGAGAAGUUAUAAGGUCAGAAGACGUAGAGUUUAAAUAGAAUUAUCCAGAGGAGACGAAAGCACCAAGUCAGGUGUGGAAAAUGAAGAUAACUAUACAUGAAGAGGAGGCGCUGCCGGAAGUACCGACUACGCCACCCAACGAACCUCAGGACAAUUGAGAAAAUGGAGAGUCCCGUUCGGAGGACUUAAAAUACCGAACGCCUUGCCAAGAGGUAAACUUGGUAGUUAUCCUUUCCCUUUCAGUUAUUUCAAAUAGUUUAUUUAGUUAAUCAUGUUCAUGCUAUCCUAAAAAGAAAAUAAAAAUGUAAAAAAACAGUAAGCCCCAUGUGAGUAUACGAGUGACAUAAAACCCAUAAGUACAUACACUGUGGUGGCAUAAAAAUAAAAUAAAUAUUUUUCUAUUUUAUAAAAUGAAAAUAUAAAAACAGGAAGUAAUAAUUAUUAAGGAGUCUCAACAUGAUAAAGGCUAGAUAUUUAUGCUAACACUUAAUCAGUUCCACAAGAUUUGAGCUCCACAGAAUUUAAGAAUCAAGAAGACUAGCAGACGGAGGACAUUCUAAUCGCUGUCAGAAUGCUGCUGACUUUCAAAUACACCUCUGCCACCUGUUAGCUACAUCAAGAGAAAUUACGUCAAAAUUCAGCUUGGGGGAGAGCACCCCCAUUUAUCUCGAUAAGUAUUUCUAUCUAUUUAUCUUUAUACUUAUAUUAUUUUAGAAUAUAAAUAUACAUAACUUUAGAAAAAUCAAAUAAAGAUUUUAUGCUUAUAUAUAUCUUUUGCUUAGUGUGUUUAAUAAAUAAAGUGGCUAUGCUAAUCUGUAUCUAAAUAAAACUUAAGCAUGGAUAUGAUGAAUAGUUACUCUGCCUAAUUUGCACAUUUUAAGUUCUCUCUCAAGUUUAGAUAUAACUGUUAUAAUUUAAAGCUUGCUCUAGACCUAAACUUGUGGGAUGAAAACGUGAUCUGAAGUCUAAGUUGUUAAUGGAUACGAUAUGGGAAGGUUGAGCUGCUGUUUAUCUGUUCCUAGAGAUGCUAGAAUUCUGAAGAAUUUUAUCUUUGAAAAUCUUUAAAAUGUUGCAUGAUGAGUUCCUGUAUGAUGAGAGUUUAAAUUUCUACCACAGCCAUAUAUACAUGCUUGCUAGACUUUGAGCCACACAUUUACUAUUUACUGCUUAUGAGCAUUGAGUGUGGUCAAGCUGUGUAGACCCUUAGGAGCUUGUCAUGUGGUUAAAUCAAGAUUUCACUUGCACGUUCACUCAUAUAUGCUACUUCUACUCCGGAAGUACCAUCCACAUAUAUCCAUCCAUUUCCAUCUCCAGAAUCACCCAAAAAUAUUCUACUCCUAAUCCGGGAGAGAAUAGCAAAAAAUAUCUGUAUUUUUCCCUUGUGAAAUAAAUGCUCAAGUUAUCUUGUUACUACCACUUGCUAUAUUAUCUCAAGAGAUGAGUGCUUAUAAAAAAAGAGAAAAAAAUAAACAAAUACGAGGAAAUAAAAAGGGGCAAGUGCUCGGAACCUCGAAAGAGAAUAAAAAGUGAGACGAGAGGUAAAAAUGGACAAGUGUCUGACAGUAGAAUUAGGGGUACAAGAUACCCACCUGAGAGGAAAGAAAAAUAAGAGCAUCUCAUUCUCCUCAUAAAGUUUCAAAAAGCAAGGAAGGUAUGUAUCCCCUCAAAGAGCAAAGGAGAAUUAGACUUCCACCACCAUUGUUUCCACCAUUGUUAUCACCAUUAUCACCAUACACCAUUCAUUCGCCACACAUGCACAUCUUGAUUAAACUUAUUGAUUUGUUUCUUUGGAUCCAUGGUUUGACUAUGCAAUAAAUGUCUUGUAAGUAUGUAUACUUUAUCUCCCACCUAUGAGCUCCAGAUAUUAAAGCCUUAUUAGAGUAGGGUGAGAGAGAAGGCAAUGUCACUAUGCUUCAUACCACAAAUACCACAUAUCUUGAGAGAAGGCAUAUACCAUCACUGCCUUGGUAAGGAUCCAGAAAUACCACAAAAGAGAGAUCUGAGAGAAUCAUACAAGGAAUCUCUGAGUUUUAUUUGAAAAUCUGAAAAACCCCAGAGCUAUAGCUGAUCAAGAAUAAGAGACAUGGCACUUAACUAGACUGUUCUAUCUUUUAACUACUCAAGACAGAAGUGACAGUUACAAGUCCCAUGGUGAAGAUAAAGUAAGUAAGUUUUAUGUCUUGACAGUUUACUCUAAC
rnacentral:lncRNA from 1 species